GUUAAGCAUAAAAUUAUAGUAGUGCUUUAAAUUAGUUUCAUGUGAUAGGAAUAUGUUGAAUAUAAAUGUUAAAAACAUCACUCUCUAACGACGUAAGUUUCUGAAGAACAAUAAUUAUUUCAUAUUAUUUAAUAUAAUAUUAGAAUGAAAAAUUUUGAGGUCAAGUUAAGUUAUAGUAGGCCCUGACAUAAUUGAUUUCUUUCAUUAUUUAAGUUUAUAUUUUUGGUCUAUCAAAAUGUCUAGAAUCCGAACAUAAAAAAAAGUAUUGAAUAUAAAGAGUUGAGUUUCUUUGCUUUUAAAAAUACAAUAGUAUUUGUGCUCGUGAUUUUUUAAUCAUCAAAUCUUUUUAAUCUAUGCAGCACUAUUAAAGAUAUGUCCCCUUAAGUUAAAUCUAUUUUAUUGAGACUGUACGGAUCUUGAGAAUCCAAUGGUUCAAAAAUUACAACCACAUUCAACUCUGAAUAUGAAUAUAUCAAAAUAUCUGGAGCCCAUAGUAAUAAAACGUUCUACGAGGAAGAUAAAAUUUUUGUUUAUGAUGGUAACAAUAAUAAACAAAAAGGGCACAACUUUCAAAUUUGAACAUUUGAAUCCCCUGCCUUUUGAGCUUCCGCAGCUAACGGUCACCAAAAGCCCCUUCCUCUCUCCCUCUUCCCCACUCCUCCUCUCCCCCUUCCCUGUUCACUGUUGAACAAUGUCCCCCUCUCUAUCCUACGAAGAUCUCCGCAACAAGAAGCUCCAGGAGAACAAGAGGAAGCUCGAGGAGCUCAAACUGAGCCACCUCUCCGUCGCCCUCCGCGACGCCUCCUCCCCCAAACCCUCCCCGGUUCCGACCCAUCUCCUCUUUUCCCCCACAUUUUCGACUGUUCAUUCUCUGCUUCAUUAUAUAUCUCUCAUACUCUUAUUACUAUUUGUUUGGUGCGUUUAUGAUGGCGCAGUCGAAGUCGGUGAAGCGGAAGGCCCUGCAGGAGCAGCGGUUGGUCGCGGUGAGGCGGUCGGUGCGCGUCGCCAACUUGCCGGAGCCGCCAACGUAUCGGGAGGUACGCCGAUUGCUAGUUACUUUCUAUUCAAGUCAAUUGUUUUUUGGUUGGAUGUAUGUUUAAGUGAUAGAUUAAGAACUCAAAAAUUGAUCCUUUGUUUUCGCCUUGGUUUGCAAAUUUUAUCGUGUUUGCGAAAAAGGGAAAACCUUUAUGGUGAAUCCCUUCAAAUUUGAGUUAUUUGAGCUUUGUAUUCUAUCUCAAAACACCAUUUUUGCUUUUUUAGGGGGGGGUGUUCCUUCUUAACUAGGAAAAAAAAAGAGCAUUUUUGCAUUUUUGUGCAUGUUUUUGUUCUCACAAAUAUAUCUUAAUCUUAGGCAACACAUGAAUUACUUGUUCUUGUACCUAGAUUUUUAUUACCCUUUCUAUAGAAGUUUACAUAUAUAGGAUUUAUUUUGUGUUAAUAUGUAGAAUUAUGCAUGCAAACAUACGAGUAUUUGAUUGUGUUUGUAGCUGUUUAUUUAGACCAGCAGUUGCAGUUGCAUUUGCAUUUGAUUUCGGUUCCUGAGAUAGCUAUCAUUUGGUUAAUUGGCUCUUCAUGUUAGCAUUGACCCUCGACAUUCUUUUGAAACUUUAUGUGCUUAUAUAGCUUGGAUGGGACGCAGCGGAAAGGUCUAGAAGGAGGUGUGCCACUUUUUAUAAACUGUAAUUUACUUCGUUAAACGGCAUCAUAACAUCAGGAUGUAAAACUUUAUCUUGUGACAUUAUUCAGUUAUAGGCCUUGUAAGAGGAGAGAUUUGUCGAAUCGGGUGUAUGCUUCGGAUGAAGAAAGGAUGUAUGCUGAAACAAGAGCCGAAGAAGUUGAAGCAGAACUUGGUUCUGAGUUUCCUACUUUUGUUAAGCCCAUGCUGCAAUCCCAUGUCACCGGAGGAUUUUGGCUGGUAAUUUCAAUUAUAAUAAGAUGGUUUUUUGUUGAUCUAGUGUUCUAUUUUUAGUUAGAUGUAUGAACUAUUAAUCAUUAAGGCUAUUUGUGAGUACACUAUUUAUUAUGAUUUUGCAACUUUUGGCCCGAAGUUGUAGAAAUGAACACAAGAAUCCAAUAUUGCAAGAUUAUAAAGUGGAUUUUUGGUGUAAAAUAGCAUGUAUCGAACUCUUGAAGGCUUUUUCAACAGGGCCUUUCCAAACAAUUUUGCAACAAAUACCUACCAAAGCGAGAUUCCACCAUCACUUUAGUUGAUGAAGAGGACGAGGAAUUCGACACUGUGUACCUUGCCAAUAAGAGAGGCUUGAGUGGUGGAUGGAGAGGCUUCUCUCUACAUCAUGAGUUGGUCGAUGGAGAUGCUUUGGUUUUCCAGUUGAUUGAACCCGCAAGGUUUAAGGUAAUGGUUCAAUCAUAAGAGAAAAAAUGAUCGAUUGUGUUAUACGUUGCGUUUGGUCCAUUCUGGUGCUGCUACUCAUCUACCUUUUAUACACUCACUCAACAAUUUGACAUUAAUGUAUUAAGAUUGUGGCGUAUUGUACAGUAUCCUGCAGUUUCCCAACCUAAGCUACACAUGUUGCUUGUAUUUUUUAUUUUUAUUUUUUAAAUCUGAUUCUUCUUUUGUAUAUUACUCUCAGGUACAUAUAAUUAGAGCGAGUGGUUAUCAUGAUCAGUAAUGCUGCUGUAGCCAUACAAUUACUAAUGCAGCAGGUAAAUUAUGCUACUAUUUGUAAUUUUGAAUUUUCUUAUUAUUCGAUACUUUGGAGAAACAUUGCCAAAGUCUUAAGCUUACUCGGAAGUUAAUGUUUCCUUUGUUUGAAAAGAAAAACAGUGCUCUAUCUUGUUCUUAGUAUGCAUUCCUUCUCUGUUGGACUCUCUCCAUGACAAAUAUUGUUUUUCAUUCGACAUUUUCUGCAUUUGUUAGUGUAUAUUCGGCAUGUCAUAAGCAGUUAGAAUAGAGCUUCAAUUGCAGAUCUGAAACAAGCAUCUGACUUAACUUAUUCUAAUCACAGCGGAGAAGUUAUUAUUUUGGAUAUGACACUCUGAAUAGAUUCUUUCAGGCUUUCACUGUCAAAAUUAGGAGGUGUUUUGCUCAAGUUUAGUUACCCUUUUGUGCGAGCCGAAAAGGUGCAGAAAGUGUAGCAGUGUUUCACUAUAAUGUUUGCUGAAAUUGUCUCCUUUUGGUCCAUCUUUUGUUGUCUAUCUUUCAUGUAACACUACAAUGUCUCGAAGUUCAAGAGUUGAAAAUAUCAGGUUGAAGUACAGUUUUAUUUUGGUGCUACAAAUGCGAGUUAGUGCACAGUUAGUAAUAUGUUAUUUUGUAUGUACUAUAAACCUCAUGUACUGAUUAGCAUAAUUUGAUUUUGCAGGUAAUCUAACUUUUGAUUAACUUCAUGGACCGUAUUCUGAAGUCUGAAGUCGAUUAGUUCCAUUUUCUGUAAAUAGAGUGAGAAAAGCGAUUUACAGAACUGUUCGAGUUUAAAUGUUCUAUUCUAUUUAUCUGGUUUUUGGUUGAAACAAAUUCAAUUAGUCGCGUCCUAUGAACAGCAGUUAAAAUAUACUUGAAGAUGACAGUUUGAAUGACUAAAUUUCUCUGUUAAUCAGUCAAUUUAAACUUCUUCUCCCUUCAUCACAAUAAUACAGCAGCAAAAAAUUAAAACUUCUAUUUGGAGUUUGUCCUUCUGAUUCAAUGAGAAAAAGGACAUCACGGAUAUGCGUCGAAUUUUCCUUGUUAGCAGUAUCUUAUGCAGAUGAAAAAGUUAUAUGAAUCGUGAAAAAAGUCUAAUCAAUUAUUCAUCACAUGCAAUGUAUAAAUUUUAAAACAAUGAUGAUGGUUAAUCGAGUAAACCAGUUAACCUUUCGAGUUUAUAACUUUGAUUUCAACAUAAAAACAUUUUUUUUUUCGAAUAUUCAUGAGAUCGGAUCAGAUCAUGUUAUCCUUUGCGUGCUAAACACCAAAUUGUUUCGAUACGUGAGAGGAAGUAAAGAAAGAUCUUUAUUGGGUGCAAACCUAAUUAAAAAAUCACAUAGCUGUAAAAAAAAAUCAUAGCAUUUAUUUUAAAAAAUCCGUUUGAUUAAUUUAUAAUUUAUAAUUCCAGAGUCUUCUAUUUAAACUAAUAUUUUAAAUUUAUUUGCGAUUAAUUGGACAGCUCAAGCUUUUGUUUCUGCCGCGCACGUUCAAAGCUCCCUCCUUUUUCUCCAGUCACUAUAAACGUUAAAAAACGAAAAAAGCCCAAUUCGCCGAAGCUCUCUCUCUCUCUCUCUCCGCCCUUUUCCGCAAACCCUAAAUCCAUUUAAAAGUGGUUGUUGUCGAUCUGAUUCGCCCAAACUGGUGUGCUCGGAGGUAGAGUAUGCGCGAUUGCGGAGGAGAUUUUGCGAAUUCUCGCACAGUUUUGAGGCUUUGGAGAAGUGUUUAGGGUUAGGGUUUCGAUGGGGGAGGGGAUGAUCCCGUUGGCGGUGCUGCUGAAGCGGGAGCUCUCGAACGAGCGGGUGGAGAAGCCGGAUUUGCUGUACGGACAAGCGAACCAGAGCAAGAAGGGAGAGGAUUUCACCUUCUUGAAGGCCGAGUGCCAGCGUGUAGCUGGGAACAGCUCCACCACCUUCUCCGUGUUUGUGGUAAGAGUGCUUUGUUCGUUGUUGUUGUUGUUGUUGUUGUUGUGAUUUGGCUCUCUAGGUUUUGGGGUAGUUUGGUUUCUAGGGUUUUGAGUUGUUUGAGGAUGGUAAGGAUUAGGGUAUGUUGACUUGAGUGUUGCGAUGAGUGCGAAUUGUUUGCUGGAAACUCCUAGGAGUGGUGGUGUCGGAGAAAAUAUGAGGUUUAUGCUUGUGUGUUGUGAUAUGUGCGGAGUUUAGGAGCUAUUGCUGUGAUUGUUUGUAGAUAAUUAGAGAAAAUUUGAAAGUGGUCGAUGUUUUGAAUAUUAGUACAAGGGUCAAAAGAAAGAUUCUGUCUUUUGGAUGUUAUUGUGACUAGGAAAGAAGCGAUGAUUGAUUCAAUUUUUGCCCUUAAUAACCUUUCAAACUUGUACUACAUGCUGCAUUUUAAUUCAAUGGUUUUAACCCAGAUAAGUAACCCCCUUUUCUGAUUAUUUUGUGAAUAAAUCGUCGCAUAUACUGUGCAGCUCUUUGAUGGACAUAAUGGCUCUGCAGCUGCAAUAUACUCCAAGGAGAAUCUCUUAAGCAAUGUUUUGUGUGCUAUUCCUCCAAAUCUCAGCAGGGAGGAAUGGAUAGCAGCAUUGCCAAGAGCGCUAGUAGCAGGCUUUGUCAAAACGGAUAAAGAUUUUCAGGAGAAAGGUGCGAGCCAGUUAGAAUUCUUUUGGUUAUUGAACUUUGAAGACUGAUUUGUUGUGCAAGAUGCUUGUUCUAGUUUCUCAGAUUCCAAGUAGUUUACUUUUCCUAUUAUAUCUAUUAACAAAAUUGGCCAUUAGUUAUCCCUCAGAAUACAUUUGACUACUUUGGCAUCUUUCUAGCUAAUACAUGUGGUGGGUUGUUCAAUGCAAAUAUGGUUGGUAACUUGCAAUUUUAGAAGCAAGCAUCCAGCCAUGUAAAGAUGAACUUCCUGCAAAGACAGGAAUACAGAUAUUGCUGUAUUUUCUCCUUUCAUAUUUGAAUGACAUAAAAGAUACUAAUUAAAUUGCAAUAUCGGGAUAGUACAAGGUCUAUCCGUACAUUUCACAAAGAAAAGACAAAUUAAAUCCUUUAAGAAUGCUAAUAUCGUUGUUUCAUUGUUUUGCUGCAACCUAACUUGGUUACACCGAUGCCUUUUCAGCAUGUAAAUCAGGAACAACUGCGACGAUUGUCAUUAUUGAUGGAUGGGUUGUUACUGUAGCAUCUGUUGGUGAUUCACGCUGUAUACUUGAAUCUGCAGAAGGUUCAGUUUAUUUUUUGUCGACAGAUCACCGGUUGGAAGUUAAUGAGGAGGAGUACGUAUUGGUUUCUUGAUUUGAGCCUGGUGCUAUAGACCUUUUUGAUUCAAACAUUUAGGGUCUAAAUUUAUUAUUUGGAUCUAUGAUCAAUUUUGCCGCAGGGUAGAACGUAUAACAGCCAGUGGCGGAGAAGUUGGGAGGAUAAAUAUUGCUGGUGGUGCUGAGGUACUUGCUUGCUUAUCCUUCUUAGAUAUUUCGUGAUAUCUCCUUUUGGAACUUUUACUUGUGUGCAAGUUACUUUUCACACUACGAUGUUUACUCUUGCUUUAGAAGCAUGCACCAUUCUAUCACAAAGUUUCUUCUCUUAUAUGUUGUUCUAGAACUGCUGGUUUUGCUAAUAUUGUUCUAUAAUUCACUUUUAUUCAGUAAAAUUAUUAGGCCAAUGAACAAUACUAUCUCUGGCACGUGAACUUGUCACUAGAAUCACUACAUCAACUAAAUGAAAGCUCUUCCUCCUGAUGCUAAUGAUUCAGUUCCUAGGAUGGUUUUAUAUAUAUUACUUGCCAAAUGAUUGUUGAUGUGGUUGAUUUAUCAUCCUCGGAUUAAUUUUUUGUUAGUAUACGCUGGUUCUGUUCAAAACACGUAAAUCAUAAGCUAGCAUGCUGCUGCUCUACCUUUUCCAUCGUAUGUUCUAUGUACUUAUCACGAUGAAAGUGGCAAAGUGCUAGGUGCCGACUGUGUAUCCGAGCAAUACUAGAAUUGGUUCCGUAUGCUAGAAGAAAAGUGAAGCUUUUGAUUUUUUUGUAACAUUUUUAUUUCGCUAAAUGACCAUUUGCCUUUCAGGUUGGUCCUCUUAGGUGCUGGCCAGGUGGCCUGUGUCUAUCAAGAUCAAUUGGAGAUGUGGAUGUUGGGGAAUUUAUUGUUCCAAUUCCUCACGUGAAACAAGUCAAGGUUUGUGAGAUGUUUAUUAUUACAAGAAAAAAAUUCGAUUUUUAUUUUUUUUAAACUGUCGUAGAUGGAUUCGCAGUAAUAAAGAAGUUCGGGGACUAAAUCGUUCAAGUAAAAAGUGGAAGGACCAAACAGUACAAAGAGUAGAGGGAUUUUCCUACAUAUGUAUAUAUGGCUAAUAGAGUAUUGUUUACCUAGUGCCUAAUAUUAUUAGAUGCUAUAACUAUGCUGUUGCAUGUCAUACAACUCAAUAGAUUUGCCAUUCCUAGAAUUUACAAUCUAUACUCUUCUAUAUGAAUUCACAGUUGUCAAAUGCUGGAGGACGCCUCGUCAUCUCAAGUGAUGGUGUGUGGGAUGCUUUGACCUGUGAGAAGGCUCUCAGUUGUUGUUGGGGUUUACCAGCCGAAGCCGCAGCUUCUCGAAUUGUCAGGGUACUUACAAUUUAAACUCUAAUAGAGUUCUUUCUAAUAGUUGCCUCACAAUUCCAAUAAUUUUCUAACUAAUAGUUAUCUGCAGGAAGCUUUAAAAGCAAAAGGACUUCACGACGAUAUUACCUGUAUUGUGGUUGAUAUUUUACCACCAGAAAAGCUGAGCCCUCCACUGAAAAAGCCAGGAAAAGGGAGUCUCAAAUCUUUGUUCCGCAGAAAAUCAUGUGAGUCAUUUUCUGAGCCAUUGGAUAGAGGAUGUUCAGAACCAGAUGUGGUUGAGGAAAUAUUUGAGGAUGGGUCUGCAGUGCUUGCUGAACGGUUUGUCAUGUUCAUUCCAAAAUAAUAUUGACAUAUUUGCGUAUUAUUCCACUGCGUAUUUAUCUAUCUAUGCAUAUGCCCCUGUAAAAUUGGAGUUUCAUAUUUGCGUUCGAAAAGUCGGUUUCUUGCAUAUAGAAAAAUACCCCUCUUUAAAAACUUUUUCUAAUAAAAAACCAACUCCACCUCAUGAAUUGGAUGACUACUCCCUAAUACUAGCAUGUUUUUAUAAGAAAUCUGCACUUCAUGGGGUAUGUAUGAAGCUCAAGCCUUUAGAAGGGUAUUGUUUCUUAAGUGAUUUCGCAGGCAUAUAUAUGAAGAAGCUAGUAAUAGUAUUCUACAUUCCAUUAGUCUAAUUUUUCACUUAAUGCAUUGGAUUAUGGACUUCAGAACAUACUUUGGAUAGCACUAGAUGCAUUCUAUUGUAAAGUAGUGACACAAAAUAUUUUUCUUGAGCUGUAUAAUUAAAAUGAUGCUGUGUACUUGCAGGUUGAACACUGAAUAUCCGAUUAGCAAUAUGUUCAAGCUCUUCAUGUGCGCGGUUUGCCAGCUGGAGAUGAGACCGGGAGAGGGCAUCUCUUUGCGUGCUAGCUCACCGAAACCCUCGGGAGUCAGUCCCUGGGAUGGCCCUUUCCUUUGUUUAACUUGCCAAGCAAAAAAGGAAGCCAUGGAAGGAAAACCACCUUCCGGAAGUAAUAACUCUUACCUUUUUUAUACUACACGGAAAAAUAUAGGUUCAUUAAAUUCUUUAAGACCAUCCCUGAUUUCAACUACUUCUGUGGAUUUCCAAUUUAACAAUUUAGUCCCCGAGGUUGUCCUACAGAACAAUUUACUCCUAUUAAUCUACUUUAGAGUUAGCCGAUGGUUGCCACGUAGAACAGGCCUCAGGGACUAAAUUUAUCACAACUAAAGCCAUCAGGACGUAAUCCAAAGCAGGGUCAAAAUUCAGGACUAAAAUUUUAAUUAAUUCUCGCAACUUUUGUGCUACAAAGUUUAACUUAUCUCCAAACAUAUCCAGGUUGCGCAUCUAGAGUCUCAGCUACGAUCAAGUAGUAUCAGCGGUGUUGAAAUUAAUUAGACUCUGCUUCUUCGACAUCAUCACCCUGAUCUUACCCGACCAACCUACCGACAAAAGAUAUUCAACCUAUUAUUUUAUUCUUCAAUGACUUGGUGUGGUCGAUCUUGCACAGAAGCUGAUACAAUCGACUAAUUUUGUAAAUGCUGCAUUCAGUCUGAGAAGCAAUAUUCGGCCUUUUACCAGGGAAUUCUUUUCCGAAUAAGUUCCCUCUUUGUAAAGCAGGGUGCGAGAUAACCUGAUUCUUUGUAGGUGCCUUAUCAUGUUUGUAUAUAUCAUCAGUCGACCGUUCCCUAUGCGCUUUGUCCGUAUUGUGAGUGUAUUUGUUUGUUUGUUUGUUUUUUCUAUUCAUUUAAUUUUUUUCACAACCAACACAAAGUGAGAGUAAAGUGGUGGUUAUAAGAGACUCAAAUUAUUCAAUUGUUGAAGGCACUAUACAUGUGUAUUUCAGUUCUGUUGCUGCUGCCAGUUGAAGCUGAUUUGUGCCAUUCCUAGCAAGAUUUCGUUGUUGUAAAAGUGGAAAAAUAUCAACUGCUUAAUUUAAGAAUAUAAAUACAACCGCAGCAAUAUCCAAAGCAUUUCCGUGAAGUUGCUUCACUUCAGAGGUUGUUUCUUCUUGGACUGAUUUAUUAGACUACCUUGCAAAUUUGUGUUAAAGACUCAAAUAAAUGCACCUUAUUCAUCAGAAAUCAAGUGUACAGCAGUGUCCGUGUGUAAUGUGCACGCACCAUAAUACGGUGUUUAAUCCUUCCAUCGAUCUUUAUGAGAACUUAAUAAUAACCUGCGUCAAGAGUGACUACCAAGUCAGGAAAAAAUAUGCGAAAGUAGCUACUGUUUCAGGGGGAAAAAAAAAGUCCCAAGGGUUUUUUAUAUCUAAAAACUUCACAAAAUUAGGGCAUAAUUCAAGAGAAAGAUACAGUGAAGUUGUAAUAGAAGAUGAACCCACCUGAAUCCACCUCUUCUCUGUUUUCAGUAACAGUCACCAUGGUGUAUGUUACAUCUUACAAAACUCUGCAAAUGAGAACCAUAUACAUACUGGCAUGGAGAGAUGGACCUUAGAAGGGACAUUAGCUCAUUGUCAAAUAGUGAUUCUAAUAACCACAAGAAGCUACAUUAACGGUUGCGUGCGAUAAUGAGUAUCGGGAGAGGGCGAUAAAAGCACCAACAGUAGUUCACUUGAGAACCUUUCAUAACUUCUGCGCUCCGACUAUUCUGAAGAUCUAUCAAAAUUAACUACAAAAAAUCAUCAAUUAUGUAUGGCUCCCACAGUUUGAUCAUGACAGAUAUACGAAUCUUUAUUGCAGCGAGCUACAUUAUGCAGUCAGAAUGUACACAAAAAACUACACCGAAAAUCUCGAUACUUGAAAUGAUACGAAACAUACGGUUCUCAAACGAUACAGAAAUUAGGAUCUCAAUAGUUCCGAAUAGCUACAAGCAUACUCUUCAACAUGUUCUCACGAAAAGCCUAUAACAAAUGUAUUGCAAAACUCACAGCAAAUCAACUUAAUAAAUAAAUAAAUUUAACUUUAUUAUAGAUGUGAAGUAUACAAUUGGCUGAAAACUUGUACAUGCAUACUCAAAGAAGAAAAGAUAUCCCAUUACUUGUCCGUCUGAGCUUUUCUCCUUGUCAUGACAGACAUGACGACCCGAGGAAAAAACGAUCUCUUCCUUCUCAACUUCGCAUCCGAAACAUUCUGCUCUGGGCUACUUUGUGGCGUAUACGACUUUGGAUCCACCGUUGCUUCGGCACUAAUUUCAUGUUCUCUCUCAUCAAAGCUCUUAAUUUUAGCGCUAUAACUUCGUUUAGGAAAAGUUGCACUUCUUGCAGUAUCUCCGAUUUUACGACGCUGUUCGCUUUCCUCUCUCCAGUUCCGCAAUUCCUGCUCGGCAGCCAAUUUUUCCUUCUGGGCCUUCUCUGCCUUCUCUGAUGCAACUCUCAAAGCUUCUCUCUUUUGCUCUAUUUCUUUGUAUACUUGAUUUAGUAUCUCUAAGCUCUUGAAUUCGGACUCCUUAGCUGACUCAACCUGCGCCGUCGCAGCCAUUGCUUUCUCACGGGCCGCCACUUCGGCUUCAUGAGCUCUCUUGCUAAGAGUGAAGUACUCGUCAAUUGAAAGGGUCUCUCCUUUGGGAGAGUCCUCUCCUAAACUUGUAGCCUCCUCACUAUCUUGCAAUGCUUUGAUCGCAGCGAGCGCCAACUUCUCUGAAGUCCUCGCAGCCUCUAUUUCCUUUAAAGCCGCAUGCAUUCUUAUCUCGGUGGUGAUCACGCUGGCUUUGGCUUGUUCGGCUUCUUCGUCGGCUUUUCUAAGCUCUUCUUGCGCUAGCUUUGCGGCCGACUUGGCUCGAUUGGCUUCUUGAGCAGCUUCUGGCAACAGCUUAGGUAGCUCCAUCAUGUUUUCUCUGGUUUCCUUUUCUUUCGCCUCAACGGUUUCUAUCUCUUCUCUUGUUUUAUUGAGCUCGGCUUCGAGAGACGAAACUGCUAUAGAAGCCAUUCCUUCCCUCUGCUUCACGGUUGCGAGGACUGCUUUCUCUUUAUCCAGCUCCGAUCUAAGAGUUGAAACUGCAAGUUUUAAACCGCUGACCUCUUCUUUCGCUUUCUCGAUACUCCCUUCAACUUCCUCAAUCUCUUUUCUUUUCGAAUCCAGUGCUUCUUGAAUGGACUUUCGCAUUUUAUUUGUCUCGCCGGUUAUAUUAUCAUCUUCGCCGUUCAACUUUGCCUCUGUGCAGGCUGCCAGCUCAGCUUUCAGAUUCAGUAACAAAUCAGAUGCUGAAUUUAACUUCGACUUCAGGUCCUCUGCCGACGACCGCUGCUCGUUUAGUCGUUUGAUCUCCUCUUCUGCUUGCUUCAGCUCUUUCUCCCAAGCAAUACAAUCUUGUUCUCUCGCCAAAGAUGCGCCGAUCCUACGGUCCUCUGCGUCGAGAUGCGCGGCAUGCGCUGACUCCAACUUUUCCUUAGCAGAAAUAAGCUCUACGGUGAGUUCCUCCACUUUCUUUUCAAUCCCCUUCGAUUCGCUAAUAGACUCAUCUGCUUUUCUUAUCAUAGCAUCUUUUUCACAAAGUAAUGCACCAUACUGUUCCUGUAGUGCUUGCAGCUCUUCUUUCACAGACUUUAGUUCCGCAAAAGCGCUAUCGCGGCGUGCUCGUCCAACGUCCAGCUGCGCCUUGGCCACCACGCUGGCUUCGCCGGCGAUUCCUUGCUCAAUUUCUUUCAUUCGAAGUUGCGCAAGCUCCGAGUCCUGUUUUGCCUGGGCCUCUUCAGUUUGCACCUUCUCGAGAUCGAGUUUGACUUCUUCUACGAGCCUUCUGGUGCUCUCUAGCUCCUUAAGGACCUGCGCUUUUGCCUCCUCGGUAGCUUGCAGUUGCAUUUUGUGCGCUGGAAUUUCUUUUUGUACCUUCUCAAGUUCAAGUUGGACAUCGCCACUUCGCUGUAAAUAAGAAGUGAGAUGCCAUGGUGCUCUCGUCAGAUGCGUGUCUAAAUGUACAUACCAGCAUACAAUGGUAUGAUUUGAUUACGAAACAAAACCGCACAAGAAAUGGAUUUUAGCCUCCAUAUAUUUGCAAGAAAUGUUCUCAUAUAUUAAACUAUGUAGUAGAAUUUUCAGAAUAAUUUCUUACUCGUGUUCGACAACUGUUAUCUUCAUCUCUAAGAAAGAGUAACUAAGUUCUCAAAGACAAAUUUUAAGACAUAGCAGUGCUAAAAGCGAAAGUGGCUCUUCAUGGAAUCCUAAGGAUUACUUGUAUCGCAGAAUUCUAACGACAAUCAUUCAUGGAAUCGUAGAAAUUUUUCGUUACCUCAAGAGUCAGCGAUUUGUGCGCUUUCCAAUCAACGAUCCCCCCAAACUUCGAGACAGCUGCCUUAACCGAUUCAAAAGGCGCUGCAGUGUCGAUGACACCCCUGUGUGGAUUCACACUUCUUCCACGGUCUCGAGAAUUACUCGACUCCCAUGCUUCCUUUCUCAAAUUCUCACUCUUCACCUGUGAACCAGGCCUGUAUUCUUUAACUCUCAUUGCAAACGAUGGACGAGCUUCACUGCCACUCUGAACAUCAUUAAGCACCAAAACAGCUUUUCCCUUGUUCGUCGAAUCAAUAGGACCGUCAUUAGUCCGAACAUCUACAGGCGUCUUCAGAUCAUUUGAGCUAUCCGGCUUCGUAAGUUUAUCCAAUGCACGAGGUGUCGAAUCUACAAGCACUUGCGAUGAUAAAGCCACAGAGUCGUCAUCGUCAUCUAUAGGAUCCUUCGAUUCAUUCGAGCUCUCUGACAAAGUAGAUUUCUCAUUUGCUUGUGUUAAGCUAUCACGAAUAUCUGGCUCGAUGUUCGUAUCUUCGUUAUUCGUCGGAGGAAUCGGAGUCUCUGCAGAAGUUGCCUGAGAUUCUGGUAGCUGUUCUUCGUCGCAUUUCGUUUCGUCCAUUUUCUGACACUUUGUUUCCUUUCUGCAUGUAAAUGACAGCAGAAAGGUUAACAAUGUAUCUGCACAAAUCAAAAUUACAACUUCAGAUUUGACAUGAAUGUUAAAAAUCUCUAAUUUCUCGUAAAUUACAGCAACUAAGUGGCCCAAAUAAUUCUCACAUAGGUUGAGAAAAUUCAAAAGAAUACAAAUGCAAAAAGCAUUCAUUUUACAGCAAAUUCAAAAGAGAAUCAACAAGAAUGAUUCUAAAAGCAUUCAAAUUACGCACCUCAUUAAUUACACUACUGAGUAAUAUCUAUCCAUGACAGAGCUCUAAAUUCGUUACAGAAUCUAUUUAAUUCUUAAUUAGUCAAACGCAAAAACCCUUCAUAAAUACCCAUAUAAUCCAUAAUUAUCAUCACAACAACACAAAAUUCACCAAUUAAAACACCAUGUUUAAGCCAAAAACAGGAAGCAAAUAAUUAAUUAAAGAGGCUUACUACAAAAUCAGAAUAAAUUUAUCCAACCACUCGCAUAAUCGAUCCGCGUCUCCACGCUUCUCCCUCUCGUUCUCUCUCCUUCUCCUCCUCUUCAUCAGUUUUUUUUUUUUUUUUGGUUGCCCCCCUAUUUUUUUGCAUUAAUUUUCGCGAUUAUUACGGAAUUUUAUGCCAUCAUUAGAAAAUAAAGAUGUAUAGAUAAAUACGUAAUCGAAAUAUUUUUUUUAUAAUAAAAUUAAUGGAAAUUAGUGGACGAGGUGGAGGCCCACUCCGGGCGAGAUUGCGACUCGCCGCCACUUCAACGCACAACGUCCGCAUGCAAUUUGUACGCGUUGUGUCGGAUCCACCGUUCGUAGGGAUCGCGGUGUGUGAAUGGACGGUGUAUGUGAUGUGCGUAUAGUUGGAAUUAUGCGGAAGGGGGUAAGGAGAGGGGGAGUGUUUAAGGGUCGUUAGCUUGGGAAAUUCCCUUAGCUGUGUACAGGAGAAAAAAUAAUAAUAAUAAUAAAAAUAAGUGGAUUUUAACGAUAUUAACUAAUGGGAGUUUUUAGUUAUUUUAGAUAAUUACAAAUUUGGGGAUUUGUUAAUAAGAUUAUGGGUAAAAUGUGUUGAUAGUCCCUAUACAAUCCCAAUAUUUGAGUCACGUAACUUUUUUUGUACGUUAUAAUUUGAUCUGUAGCUACUGUUUUUAUAAAUAAUAAUUAACUUAUCCAAAAUUAAAAUGACUAUUUUGUACGAAAAUAUAUUAAGAUCUGGGAUAUGCUUCUCGAGUAUUAUAAGUAUGAGUUUUCGAAGUGGGGGUUAGAACAUGAAAAAUCGAAAAGAAACAUGACAGGUUAGAAAUUAUCAGAAGUUUGGGAGAAAUUUUUUUUAAGGAGUAAAUCGCAAUUCUGGAAUAACACGGGGAGUAUUUUAAUAAUUUUUCAGCGCGUGCGAAGAGCGCAUGAACUCAUCAAUCAUGGAUAAGCAUGAAAACAUCUAGCAUGGUGUCAUCACAAUUAUCAUAAAUACGAAAAAAAAAAGAAACAGAUUAUUCCAUAAUAACUUAAACUGCCAUUUCCAUGUAUAAAUCACCAUUUUUAACAACACAAACACCAUUUAUCUAAAAAAAAAAGCAUCACAAACAUUAGACAGAAACUCCGUAAAUACGUUAUAGAAGAAGGAACUACAAGUUAUAUAUUUACAAGAGGCUGACUAGGGAAAUAAACAUGGUUAUCUCAGAAGAGCUCCAUAGUUUAGAGGACUCGCAAAACAAAUUUAUUGCAUCGCAGUUGCCGAUCAUCUCAAGGGUGUAAAGAUCGGGCGACCAUCGAGUUUUCUGAUAUUCGAGGAAGGUUUGCAGAAACCUAGUUACAGAACUUCGUGUUUUUCAUGAUCGUGAUGAAUUCAUUGGCAUCUACUUCUCCAUCACCUGCAUUUCAGGAACUGAAAUCUUAAGAUUUGUUUCCCAUACAGUGUGGCAAGAGAAAAGAAGAUGAAGAGCAACAAAAGUUUCAGCGCAUAGAGGCGACUUCACAUAUGGCUAGGAGGAGAGCUCUUAUUAAUGGUCAACAGAAAUGCUCAGAAUAUAGUUUCUGAGAAAACAUUAUGAUGACAAGAAGUUCAAAAUAAUGGCAAGAAAAAUUGCAUUCAAAUGGCCAACCGCAGAGAAUAAGAGGAGUACCCACCGUUGCGAUCUGCUGCUUCUAUCAUCUCUCUAAUCUCCUGAAGAGUAAAGCUUUCACCCAAAUCUCUAGCAAUACGCUGGAUAUCAACAUCGGAUAUCUUCCCCUGCAAUAUUUUUUAGUAAACAUGAAAAGUAAGAUUUACAAUGCAUUUUUUUGUUUUCUUCGAGAGAUAGGCAGCAUGCUACCCACUUUGUUUUAUUUCUUUUUAGAAAUAAACUUAGCUAGAAAUGUGAAUCAACUAGAAUUCGAACUUGCGACCUCGGGUACCAACCACCAAACCCUUUGCCACUUGCGCUAGGGACGGUCGGUCGAUUUACAAUGCAUUUACUUAAAAAAAAACAUAUGUUUAUGGCUCAGAGCUACUUGCCCCACAUAAGAACGCAUUUGAAAUAGUUGAAUACGGACGUCUCUAAAACAAAUGAGCGGUGAGAGAUAGAGAGAGGAAGAAGUUAAUAAGAACUUACAUUAUUAUCUUGGUCAAUAAUACGAAAAGCCUUCAUAAGUUCCUCUCUAGUGUCUUUCUCUCCGAUCUUGGUAGUCAUCAUGUACACAAAUUCAUCAAAAUCAAUUGCACCACUGCCAUCUUUGUCAACAUCAGCAAUCAUCUGAUUAAUUUGCUGUAGUAACAAAAGGAUCUUGUAAUUAGCUAUAGUCAUUUCCAAAGUGAACAAGAACAAAGCAGAAAUAAGUAGAUCAAUCUAACUUUCUUUACUAUGCCAGUAUUACUACGCCAGUAUGACAAAAAAAAAAAAUGAAAACUACAAAGGGAUGUCCAGCGGAUAAUAGUAUUUGCCAACACAAAAUAUAACAUAUCAGAUUAAAUUUUAAAGGGAAUGUAAGGUAACACUAGCUUGUAAUAAGCUUAAAGUAUCCAACUUUUCAUGAUAUAACAGGGGCAUCAUCCCAUCUCCCAAAAUAAGUCCAGAGAAAACUAAAGGACAAGCUGGAUCCAGCAAAAAGAAAAAACUCAUGUCAACCCCCUUGAAAUUGGUGCAGAAUUAUUGUUUAUAGCAAAUUUAGGCAGAUGUCGAACUUGCAAUAACUGGUAUGAAGCAAGUACAUACUUUAUUUCAACAAUUCCUGACAUGAGAAGAUUAUGGAUAUUCCUAUUUUCCAUUUUUCGUUUUUUUUAAUAUGAAUCAAAUGAGAGAAUUAUUGUUGAACACAGUCAACAUGACUACACGGUAUCACAGUUUAAUAGUAUGCAAACACAGAGGAGGAAGAUAUCGAAACACUUGGCGAAAUUAAAGAGGACAUAUCUCACCUCUUCUGUCAUUUCAAACCCCAAGGCCCUGUAAACAAAGAUAAAUUAAAAAUAGUUAGUAAAUUGAAUAGCAAUUUACUUCAAAAUUUUUGAAUGACAAGCGGCAUCAAACCCACUGAUUAACAUCAGAAAAGAUACCUCAUUGCGACAUUCAACUCUUUGCCAUCAAUAGUGCCUGCAGGAGAAUUAUGGUGUCAUAAGGGAAAUAAUUGGCUAAUAACAACAGAGAUAAAAAGGAAAAGAAUCAAAAUUCAAUCCGUACCAGAACCAUCUAUGUCAAAAAGAUCAAAUGCUUCCUUUAUUUCCUGCCUCUUUUGUUGUGAUAUACGACUUCGAGGCUUUUCUCUCUUAUGUCCCUUUACAUUAACACUAGCCUACAUGACAAAAAUUGACGCAUUAGAGAUAGAGAACAACAAAAACAAAAAUCCAUGCAUGUUGUAGGACUAAAGCACGAGAAAACAGAGUUAGAAUAUUCAAACUUUUAAAAGUUAAUUUUAUUGAUCACAUCCAAAUUUACAAAAUUUUUUGAGAAAAAGAAAUUUGUAAAUUUGGAUAUGAUAAAAUAAAAAGUAAAAUUUGCAAAUUUACAUAUUAUAAAAGCCUAAAUAAGUGGGAAGAAACUAGCAGAUAAUACUCAUAUUUUGCCCCAAAGGAAAAACAAGAAGCAAAAAAUGAGUCCAUAUUUUUUGGACUCAUUUUUUAAGAAAAGUAGCAUAUGAAUAUCAUUUGAGAAUCAUUUUUUAAGAUUGCUGAAGCUUCGAAGCAGUAAGGCAACUUUGGCUUUGGAAAGAGAAAAGUUUAAAGAGCCAGAAAAGGCAAAGAAACAUUUGAUGCAAUUAACAAAUGAGCAAUUUUAAGGUCAUCCAUUGAACUGAUGAUUUCUUUCUAUUGCAUGAUGUGCACAGAAUCAUAAAUUAUUUUACACCAAGUUUAAAUUGCUCAUAAACAAUCCAACUGUUAGAUUUAGUAAAACAGUAUACCAAGUAAAAAAGGAAAACAUUACUUAACACUCCAGCAAAAAGUACAACCAUACUACUGCUAAAAUAUUUCUCGGACCUUAGUUAAUUACAAUUUUAAUCUAUCAAAUCGCAAAACUAUGAGACGGAUACUAAGGAUUCUAAGGUUUAAUCCCAUCAAAGUGAUCAUAAUCUUCAUCAUCUUCUUCCACUCUCUAUUUAAUUCUACUUUCCCGUUAAAUAAGUAUCAAAUUAAGAAUUUAGGGUAUUAUCAACAAAGGUUCCGUAGCAAAUCCACUAUAUGCAGUAAAUAUAUAAUCUAAAUAAACAGUAUUUAAUUAAUUUGAGAAUUUGUGGAGUUUAAUCUCUCUACAGAGCAAACCCUAAGAAUUUUACCAGAAACUGAAGCUUUUGAACACUAAAUCAUGGUCUACGUCAAAAGAACAAAUGAAUUAAAACGGGAAAAAUCCGAAAAAAAAUUGGAAAGCGGAUUGAGGAGGAAGGAGAUUUGUGAUCGAACGUACCAUGGAUUGGAUUACUGUUGAUGCUCUCCCUCGAUGAAAACAAAGUCGCGUCUCCUCUCGAGAUAAAAAUGGAACGAAAUAAGAGUGUUUUUUUUUUUUUUCUUUUCCUCCUUUUAUUUGUUUUUCUUUCGUGUUUGUGGCCAACUUGGAAAAGCGACAUUUUUUUAUUUUUUAUUUAUUAUUCAUUUCAACUUUUAGCCCGCUAUCGUGCGUAAUUUCGAAAAGAGACGCUACUUAUCUAAAUUCCCGCAAAAGUCCCUUUCUGCUAAAUCUUACACCGUAUUUAUUUGAAAGGUCAAUAAUUUUACUCUAAGUUUAUUAUUUUUUGCUAUUAAAAUUCAAAAAUAUUUGAAUUUUUAGACAAAUAGGCGUAAAAUUUACGUCUUAACUUUCGGUGUAUAAGCCGCAUUUCUCUAAACUAAAACGCACCAAUAAAAAAAAGAGGAUUAAAAUUAAACUAAAUCGAAAGCUUUACUGCUGAUAUUUGUAUGGGUAUAACUCAAUAGCCUCUUUUAAAUAAAAGUGAAAAAAAUAUUAGUUUGGUUUUGCUUCUGUUUGUUUCUUCGAGCAGGAAAAAAAAAAAAAAAAUUGGAAACCAGUUUCUAGAAUUUGCCAAGCUUAUACAGUGGAAAGUUUCAAAUUGGUUCAGUAUAUGAGUCUCGAAUUUGAACGUAAGAAAGGCCGAAAAGUUUUGGGACUAAUGUGCAAUUUUCUCAGGAGCCCAACCGAUAAUGUUAAUGAAGCCCAGUCCAAUAAAGCUCAUCCAGCCCAUUAAAGCCCAUUAUUGUUUGGCGCGCCCAGAAGAACCUUGCUCCAGCGUUUUCCGCGACUUCGCUUUCUCUCUCUCUCUCUCUCUCUCUCUCUCUCUCUCUCUACAGCGUUCGUUCGUUUUGUUCGGAGGCAGCGAAGCUUCUAGCGGCUAGGGUUAGGGUUUCGGAGUUGCGGGAUCUCCCGAUCCUCCGAUCGAGGACGAAGCGAGGCGAAGGGGAGAGCGCAGAGCGAUGUGGCACGAGGCGCGGCGAUCGGAGAGGAAGGUGCACGACCUGAUGGACGCGGCGCGGAAGCGGGCGCAGCGCCGCGCGAUCUACCUCGCGAAGCGCCGCGGCGAUCCGCAGCAGUCGCUCCAGGUCGUCGGAUCGCGGUGCCGCGUCCACCGCGAUGAUGGGCUCUACCAGGCCACGCAGGAUCAGCAGGGCCUGUGCGUAUAAACCUAAUCCAUCUCUCGUGACGAUCCCUCGAUUUGUCUCGGCUUUGAUCCCUUGUCUUGCGGUUUUCAUGGUUUUUUGUGUUGUUGUUUGUUGGAUGAGUUGAAUCUAAUGCUUUGUUAUUUAGUUUAAUACGAUUAAUAUUUAGGUAGGUUUGUUGGAUAAGGUGGCUGUUAUACUUCAAUCACUAAUUCCUUGUGUUUUCUGCUGCUGUUCUGUUUUUUUUUUUUUUUUCAUGUUAAAGGUAGUUAGAUGAUUUGAGAUUCUGCGUUUGGUUGCGUAGUCUAAUAAGAUCAAAUUUUAGAUGGAAAAAUUAAGUUUAUGUUGAGUAAAAUAGCACUUCUAAUUAAAUAACGAAUACCUUAUAUUGAAUUUGUGAUUUAAUUUCUCCUUUGAUUUUUCCCCCCUUUCAUGUCAUUAGUUAGCUUGUUGAUUUUUAUAAUUAUACAGUUGGUUGUGUGAUCUAAUAGUUUUAAUUUUCGAGUGGACAAUCGGUUUAUGUUGGUUAAACUAGCAGUUCAACUUAAUUCAUGGAUUCUGUAUGUUGAAUUAUUGCAUCUUUGGAGUUGUUUGCAGGAUACCGUGGAAUGGAAAGGAAGAUAUUUUGAUUGACAGGUAACACUUUUGAAUUUUGGAGUUUUAUCAUUAAUCUAAAAUAUCCAACAAAUGUACCUUUUUCUGUUUUUCUCGGCAGAUUUGACGGCCGUGCUCUGCUUGAUUUCAUUCGCGAUUCUGGUAGUCGAACUUUCCGUGCUCAACAGAAGACUGGUGAAGAGGAAGAAGUUGAGGAGUUUGUUAAUUUUGAGCGUUAUCGGGAUUUGAUUAAGCAUCGGCGAAGAGGAUGUCGGUACUUUUUGGUUUUGGAUUCUAUGACUGUGUCUAGAGAUUUUCAUUUUCUCUUCCUCUUCCACCCUAUGUGAUGGGGUUCAUUGCAAAAACAAAAAACAAAAAAAAAACUUUCUGCUAAACUAUGGGAAAUACGUUCACAGUAAAAACUAUUGGGAAAUACAUUCACAGUAGAAACUUUGUCUGCUUACAGUUACUGAUGAGGAGGGUUUGCAGCAUGUUCAUCAAGAGUUGGAGGCGAAGUCCGUAAUUUCCUUGAAUUUUGAGAGGUAUUGGUUUAUAUAUGUAUAUAUAUAUGUAUAUAUAUGUGUAUACGUAUAUACAUGUACGUAUUUAUAUAUUAUGUAUAUAAUAAAUGAGAAGUUGCACAAAAAGAAUGUUGUAUUCUAGAUUAUAAACAACUACAGCUGCCCUGCAUGGAACAUCUUUUAGCUCUUUCAGUUGCACAACUACCAUCUGGAAUGUUCUUUACUUUGCUUUGAAAUACUCCCUAUAUUUACUAACUUUGAACUAACUGAUAGAUAUGUGCUUUCAUUUUGAAAUUAGUUGCUUUUUUAGGUAUUCAGGAAGUGAUUGGUUUUCUAUCUCGACUUAAAAAGAUUUACUUCAGCUAAAAGAAUUAUGGUGCUCUUAGAGCAUUUUCAUUUAUUGCAGUUUUGUUUCUUUUCUUUCUCAAUACAGACCACAUUCAUCACAACCUCCGGUGAAUAAAGGUUCAUACUCACAAGUUGGAUUCUCAUACAACGGAGACAGUAAUGAAGACUCUCAGAAUGUAGAUGGUGAUGAUGAGGACGAAGACGAUGAAGAUGAAGAUGAUGACGAUGAUGAGAAAGAUUUCAGUAGUGAUGAUAGUAACGAUGAACGAAUGGAAACAAUUGCAAAAGAGUUUGGUGUCAAGAGAUAUAACUGGCUUGUUUAUAUGGACAAGAAGGCCAAAGAGGAAGAGAAACGGCAGAAGGAAAUCAUCAAAGGGGAUCCUGCUAUUGUAAGUUCUUUUUGUUGUUGGUGUUUCGGUUCUAUAUAUUUUCUACUAUUACAUGCAGUGAUUUACAUUCCAAAAUUCACAGAGAAAAUUGAGUCGCAAGGAAAGGAGGAAAGCUUCUCAGAUGGAAAGGGAAAGAGAGCGGGAAGCAGCACGUUCGGUUGGAAGGGCGCCGCAUCAUGAUCCCUACCGGUAACCUCCAAUUUCAUCGAUUGUAAAUUAUAGCUGUAGCGAUCAAAUCAAUGAUGGUAUUGUAUAUGCUCAUCGUAGCUUAUGAUGCUGAUAAGCGUCCUGUUGUGAACAUCAUCAUGUAGGGAACAAAGGCGAAGUCCUACUUAUGAAGCUUAUCCUAGGAGUAGAAGGUAUGCUGAGUAAUUUUAGAGUUAGUUUUAUUAGUUUAUGAUAGAAAAGAAUGUACUGACGCUCCUCGAGCUUCCACUCUUGGGGCAUAAAGACCCCUAAGCAUCUAGUUUUUGAAAGUUGACCUUUAACUUCAUAUAAUAGUCUGAUUGACCCUUUGGGAUACACUCUGAAUGCUUUCCAUCUGGAAAUCAUCUUUAACAGAUCAAGAUCCAGGUCAAGAUCACGUACGCCUGCACGUUCAAGAAGACACGAUUAUGGCUCGCAUGCCGAUAAUGGUUAUCGAAGCAAGUCAAAGCCUCCCAAGAUUGAAUAUAUCACAGAAUUUGCAGUUUCAAUUGGCAAUGAUGAUCCAAAAAUGGAAGCAAUCUCUCCACCAUCAUCUCCAGUGCAAGCUGAUCCUCUCAACCGGUCGGGGCACUCGACCUUUUAUACUUGCAAAGAUAUAUUGGCCAAUCUUUUCUCUCUGCCGCGGGCUAGGGUUUUUCCUGAAGAGUUUAAAAUAAAGUCGGGUUAUGUGGGACAAUGAGAUGAUUAAACAUUUGAAGUUAUUUACACUAACUCGCUCACAUGUGCAGAAGAUUUUGUAGAAUAUACCUCUACUAUGAUCACAUCCGGUGUUCCUGUGUUACAAAAACUUUGAUUCACCGCUGCUGCUCUCUAUAAUGAUUUUACAUGUCUGCAGGCCAUCAGGUGGUCGAAUCCUUGAAGCACUUCACACUGAUCCUGCAUCUUCUUUGUCCCUUGAGCAGGAAAAGAGUAUUAAAUUAUCAAAACCAUCAGUCAGGUAGAUUGUUAAUUAUCUUUGCUAGAAUCAAGCUAUGUUUUUUUUGGAGGGCAGAAGUAGCUGUUACUUGAAAGCUUUCGCUGGUACUUCAUUUUUUUUUUCCUCCUUUUUCUACAAGAUAUUUCGCUAAUGUAAGUGAGUCGCUAAUUCUUGUCGAGUAUUUUCUUUUAUUCUCAGUUCAUCAUCAGCACUAGCAAAACUGAGACAGACUGCUACUGGAGGGUCUGCUAAAACUCCACAGAGUGAGAAGAAAGAAACGCCUCAGGAGCGCCUUAAACGGAUAAUGAGUAAACAACUGAACAAGCAGAGUAUGUUCCCCUUAUUGGAAGCUAGAUAGGAACAUGAAUUGGUGAAUUUAAGCAAAGUUAUCGGAACCAAACCGAACAAACUAUUCAAUAAUUGAACCAACUGGUGAACCUUAAAUGUGUGCCUCCGCAGUUCUAUUUUCAGUUUGGUUCUGAUAAGUUUGGUCCUAAGAGAUGAGUAUAAUAUUAUGAGCGUUCUGUGCAAGACAUUUUUUCUUAGUAAUGAUUUGUUGAUCUUUGCAGUUAAAAAGGAUACUGCUGCUGAGUUGGCGAAAAAGCGGGAGCAGGAACGGCAAAGGCAGGAGAAGCUUGCUGAAACGAGUAGAUUAAGUCGCUACAGCCGUCGUAGCUAUAGCAGAAGCCCAAGCAGGUCUCCACCAAGGUGCUUUUCCUAGUAGAAUGCUUUUGUUUUUUUCUUUUUCUAUCUUUUUUUGUCAUCAUCCUACCAAUCUUUGCUAGCUUUUGGGGUUCUUUCUUUCACACUUGUUCCAAAUUCUGAUCCGACAGUAUUAAGGGGAAAACAACCAAGUGGUAUAAGAUAGACAUGUUUUACGUAUAUUUUGCAGAAGGCAUCAUCGGCGUAGUAGAAGCCGUAGUAGGAGCAGGACCCCCCCGAGAUAUCGAUCACGAUCCCGUUCACACUCGCAUUCUCGCUCUCGUUCUCCAAGGUAACUCAACUUUUCUGUUCUUGCAUUGUAUUAAGGCAAGUUUCCCCCCGCUGACCGGUAAAAGAGACCAUGCCAUUGCAGGUAUAGAAGCCGAUCUAGAUACUGAGAUAUUGCAAGCAUAUGGACUUUUGUUUUCUUUCUUUUGUUUUGUUUUCUUUUCUUUCUUGUGUUAAGCCCUACAAUUUGAUGCAUUCAGUGCUGUAUCUGAUUUUACUAACUAUUUGUGUAAUGGAAUUAUGGCGUUGUAUUACUUGGUCCAUAAAUUGUUGCACUUGUUGCUCGGCCUCGCGAUUCUAUAAAUGGAUAUUGCUUCUUGGGCGUGGGGAUGGAAAAAUUCUAGAAUGCAACGGGUAUAUUAGUGACGUGGCGUAACAAACCAAUCAAAUUAAUCCUUUUAAGAAUAUAUGUCCCAUCAUAAUUGUAAAAAAGUAUUUUUAUUGUACUUUUAUUUGAAAAGAAGGAAUGUGAUUGGCUUGUUAUUGAUGACGUGGUGCAAGUGUGACAGUGUAGAAUAUCUCGUGGGGAUGCGCUUUUUCGGUUUCCAUGUCCACGGAGCUGGAUGAAGUCUCAACACUUCAAAAUGGGGUUUUUCUUUUUUUUCUUUUUUUUUUUCUAUAGAGGUUAUCUCAACCCUCGACGAUGGAGAUUUUGCUGUUCGUACGAGGAAAGCGAUUGACGCUAAUAAUAUAUGAUAACACGAGACGGUGGAGGUUUAAUUUUGGCAGGUACCCAUAGACAAGGCUCCCAUACCUUACUUAAGAAGUUGACUCUCAUCGAUUGCAUCCAAAAUCCACAGCCUUUUCCGUCCCAUGUUUAUGCGGUCCCCACCUUACGUGCAGUUACAGCGGUAAUAUCACCCACGAGAAAACAUGAGCCACCGCUCGUGCGGCGUAAAUUUGCCCAUUUCGAUCAAGUGUCUCUUUUUUAAGAUAUAUAUCCCAUCAUAAUUAAAAUAUAUUUUUAUUAUAUUUUUAUUUAAAAAAAAAUUAUUUUAUUAUUAAUGACGUGGUGCAAUUGCGACAGUAUAGAAUUCCUCCGCCAGCUGGGGCUCACACACUCUCUCCCUCCACUCUCCUUAUAAAAACGCUUUCAAAUCCCCACACACGCUCUCAAAACAACGUUGUGGCCCAGGAGACCCCCUCCUUCGCCGCUGCCGGAAACCUAGCUCCCCCGCCAUGGUCGACGUCGACCGCCGCACUCCGGGGCUCCCCCCGGCGCACGCCGCGGGGCUCCGCCGCCUCUCCUCCCGCGCCGCCGCCGGCGUCUCCUCCUCCUCCUCCGGCGCCCGGGCGGGGCUCCUCUCCUUCUCCGCCCUGGCCGAGUCCCUCCUCUCCCACCUCCGCUCGUGCGGCGUCCCCGUCCUCCCGGGCCUCUCCGACGCGGAGCUCCUCCGCCUCGAGGCCGAGCUCGGCCUCUCCUUCCCCCCCGACCUCCGCGCCCUCCUCUCCCUCGGCCUCCCCUCCGCCCCCGGCUUCCCCGACUGGCGCUCCCCGCUCCCCCUCCUCCUCCCCUCCCUCCGCCUCCCCUCCGCUGCCCUCGCCCUCCACGUUGCCCGCCGCGGCAACGCCGCCCCUGCCCUGCUCCCUCGGCCCGCCCCCCCGACCCCGCCGCCGCUCUCCGCCUCGCCGCUCCGGCUCCGCCGCGCCCGCCCUCAUCCGCUCUUCCGCGCUGCUACCUCCCGCCCUCCCAGCCCUUGCCGGCAACCCCGUCUUCCGCGUCGACGACGACGCGGCGACGACGCGCCCGCGUCUCCUGCUGCGCCGCCGACUCGCCGACUUCUUCCGCCGCGAGGCCGCCUUCCGAUCCGACUCCGACUCCGCCCCCGCCCUCCCCCUCCGUCGCCAGCUCUCCGCCCCCAUCCCUCCCCCUCCGCCUCCCUCUGCCUCCUCCGCCCGCCGCAGCCUCGACUCCUCCAUCGCCGGGAAGAAGCCCCGCUGGAUCGAGUUCUGGAGCGACGCCGCCCUCGAUCGCCGCGCCCGCGCCUCCUCCGCCUCCUCCCAUCCCCCCGAUCCAGAGCAGUUCCUCGAGAUCCAGGUCCAAAACUCCAUCCCUAUCCCUAACCCUAGCCUCCUCCCCGACUGGGUCCGAACCUACCUGGACCGGAUCGGAUCCGUGCUCCGCGAGGGCGGGUGGGGGGAGCCCGAGGUGGCGGAGAUGGUCCACGUGGCGUCGUCGGGGCUACUCGACAACGUCGUCGUCGUCGACGGCGAGGCGAUCCUCGACGCACUCCUCCUGAGGGCCGACCGGUGCUCGGACUCGCUCCGCCGCGCCGGGUGGAGCUCCGACGAGGUCGUCGAGGCGCUUGGCCUCGGCUCCGCCCCGGAGCGGCGGCGUAGGUCGAAGGUAAGCUUACCGCCCCGGAUCGCACUCAGAAUGGAGAAGCUCGCAGGGGCGGUUUCUAACUCGUAGCCAUACAUUCACACAUACCGGCUUUUACCGGAUCCCAAGCCGAAGCCGCUUUUGAACUUAAAAACCUUUUUAAAGUGUUUUCUUCUCUCUUUUUUUUCAUCUUUUGAUUUGAUCUUCGUCCGGUUCGCUUUUCCAGUAUAGUUUCGACCUUCUAAACUUUACAAAUUUAAAGUCUCUACUAUUUAUUAAUUAAUGUAACCAUGUCCUUCCAAAUCACAAAUAUUUUAACAAAAAGAUUUUCUUUUAAACCUUAGAAACUGUAUUUGAAAAGGUGGGAUUACUGUUAAAUAUCAGUAUAUAUAAAUAAAUUAGAAAAUUAGUUUUAAGUAGAUGUUUUGGAUUUGAAAUGAGAGGGAAUCAAUGAAAAAGUGGCGCUUCUUCUGUAUAGUGGGAGGUGACUCAGGUGAGCUUCUUUCAUGGAAACGCGCGCACGGACACGGGGAUUGCCUGAUUCUGGUAAAAAGGUUGAAGUGAGAAGUCGUGGCGUAUGGACAAGGCCACAACGGUGUCCUUUACUCUGAUGUGAUGUGAUGUGAUGCUACAACUUUUGUCUUAUACUUCGCUUCUCCGCGGUACAUAUGUUUGGUAUAAACGUGAAUUUUUUUUUUUAAAAGUUUAACUCUAUUAUAUAAUUAUUUAAUUAACUUAAUUUGAAUUAGUCCAAUAAUAUUUUAACUUUAAAAUUUAAAUUUAUUAUUUUAUAUUUACAGAUUUAGUUUGUGCAUGUAAUUUUUACAACUAAAAAUUUAAUAAAAUAAAUAAUUGGCACAAAAUUUGAUCUUAUAGUGUUAUUGAUUUAUUCAAAUCAAAAUUUUCAAUUUAAAAUUAUUUAUAAUUUAUAUAAAUUUUGUACUUUUUACCUAAACUUUUUAAGUAACUUUUGGCUUUUACCGCAAAACAAACGGGCGAGGGAAGUACGAGGCCCGUGUCCAUCGGUGCUGUACUUGUCGGUCGACCUUUUGCCCAACGGUCACCGCUCCACUAGAAUCGAACACGAAAAGCAAGUGGGAAACGGGGCGGGUGACCGUUCGCACCUCACGUGCGUAUCCGGCCCACAACCAAUUGGACCUACCUGUCGCCUCUUUCCAAAACCGACCCGUUAUAACGAGUCACUACAAUGUUCUUUUGUCCUUUCCUGUGAACAAGGCCGUGUUCACUUUAUAAAUCUAGUUGUUUCGUAUUUAUAGCUAACUUAAUAAUAAUAUAUUUAAAGUGAAUAAAAUGUGUAACUCACUAUCCUUUUGUUAAAAGAAAAUUUUUGUUCUUACUCGCAGCACCUCGAUCGAUCUGCUGUGCUUUUCAAUCCGGAUCCAAAAGGGUGUCUGGUACUUUGUGUUGAACUUAGGGUGAAGAAGCAUAGAAAAAGUUAUAACAACAGGUUUUUCAAAGAGCUCUUCAGCUUGUGUUCGAUGCGAACUCAUGACUUUGCGCUUGGAGCAGGCGAUAUCUGGUUCCAACUAGCGAGUUAAUUUGUGUGGUUGCGUGUUCUCAAUUACUAAAUAUGAAAGCGCGAACUAACAACCGAUGAGAGAAAACUGAGAAGGCUACGAAAUGGCGGCAAUUUUUUUUUUAUUAGCUUUACCCCUUGCCCUGUGCUUGUUUGGUUCUUAUCUUACUUUCGAUUUUAAAAACAAGAAGCAUUACACAGUGUUUGGCAAAUUGGACAGCUUGAAACUUUUCAAGUGGAAUUAAAAUUCUGACUCUGAAACUUACAAGUUUUAAUUCAAUGUUUUGAUUUUACUGUGGAAAAAAUCUAGGUUAAUAUAAUAUUUGGUCUUACAAUAUAAUUCCGAUAGCACUAUAUCAAAUAAUAUUACAUAUAUAUAUUCUAGUGCCAAACAUUCCAUUGACAAUAGUCGACAACAACCUGACCCACAAACAAGCAGCGCAAAUUCGAAGGCAGGUAGGGUCUCCCCGCUCCUGCUUAUUUUGGCGGAUCAUGGACGAUUUUUAUAACAAGUUGAUUUUUAUUCUAUUUUGUUCUACUUAUCCUUUUAUUUGGAGGGUAGGGUCCGAAGUGGAGGAUGAAUCAAAGGAAAGUCAGGAUAUUCGGCUUUCUAUUCCAUUUCUUUAGUAGAUCUAAGACGGGUUCAAAAUAAAUUAUUAUUAUUAUUAUUAUUUAUUUUAGCCUCUAAUUAUGUCUCAUUCGGAGCGGACCAGGCGUAAAAGUCCAUCAAUCUGGAUCCAUCUGCGUCCCUACCUACAAAUGGCCCAUCUCCAAACAGCUACGCAUGGGAUAACCCUCCCUCUUCCGACUCCCCGGCACCUACAACAUGCCUCCCAUAACGCAUUGAAUCACAAAUGGAGACAAAAAAUAAAAAAAUAAAAAAAAAAGCCACCCUUUUCCACAACAGCUCAGAUGCAUUGUUUGGAUAUUGCGACAAAAACAGAAUUCUGGUCAAUCCCUAUAAACCCUCUAGAAAGAAUUAACCCAUGCUGAAUUAUUAACAAGAAGUUGGCCCACCCCAUUUUUUUUUUUUUUUUAAUAAUACACGUGUUGGAAGUUUGAAUCUUUUUCAUUUCAUUUGAUAGAAAUCCUUCAACCGCAGAGGACAAAAAAAAUUUGUGAGUUUGACGAACUCGACUUCAACCCCCAACCAACUGAAGUCGAGAAGUCGAUCUCCAUACAAUUGUGAGCGGGAGUUUGGAUGAUUUCGCGUCUUCGGUAUUGACACAAAUACUGACGCGCACGACUUUCUCGAAAAUUACGAAUUCAACCUCUGGAAUUCAAAAUCAAACAAACAGACGCUUAGGGGAGAGUUUGGGCUAUGUCUGUUUCAGGCCCAGUCGGCGAAGCCCUGGGCCGAGACAGCCCGGCCCGGUUCAUAAACAGCUUUUUAACACUUUCCCCACUCCACUCCGAUCAAAAACCCAAGAAAAAAAACAAAAAAAAAAAAAAACCCCUCACAAUUCAUCUUCUUCACCUGUUUACGGCGGCACCUUCCCGCGAUGGUCUCCGCCACCGCCGCCGACGACUCGGCGGCAGAAUCGCUGGCGAUAAGGAAGCUCGGCCGUCUCUUUAAGCUCACCGAAGUCCACCUAUGGCGAGCUACCUCUUUUUUUUAUUUAUUUAUUUUACUGAUUUUUUUUUUUUUUUUGUGUCGCCAAUUUUUAGUUCUAAAGUGUUUUGGGAAUUAUGGAGCAGGGAUAGUUCUUAUUCCAACAGUUAUUCCGAGACUUAUUCUCGGGAUUACUCUCCGGAAGACGAGCCUACUGUAAGUUCAGUGUAGCUGUAGUAGUUUUCUCUUUUUUUAUUUUUUUUAUUUUUGGGGUUUUAGGGUUUUGAUGCUGUACUUUUUGGACGAAUUUUGCAAACGAACUUUUUUUUUUUUUUAAUUUUUGUGUGUGUAUGUGUGUAUUUUUCACAUUAAGCUUUGAAAAUUUUGUUUUUUAGUUGUUAAUUUGAUCAACCCUAAAACAGAGCUCUUGCACCGCUACUGAUGUCAACUCAGGAAUCACACAGGAAGUGGAUGGUAAGCUUCCUUUUUCCCUUCGAAAUCAUGUUCUUUUCAAAAUUUCAAAUAAGAUUAUUGAAUCACUCUACCACAUUCUCCUAUGAUGCUUCAGCAUUGAACAUUGGUGUCAUCUCUAUCAUUUUUACAGGUUAUGCUCAUGCCGAAGAUUUGGAAUUAGCUUGUCAGAUGGAUGCUUUGGGUCUGCCCGUUUCAUUCAGCACGAGUAAGGAGGUUAGUGCUUUUCGAAUUUGCCUUCUUAUGCCUUUUUUUUUUUUUCUCUCUCCUUAUUUGUAAGCUAAUAUUUACUCGUAGAAUUCAUACUUAUAAGUGGUAGUUUUGUCCAUUGCAGAAGAAGAAUGUAGCUUUCGGCGGAAAGAAAAAGGGAAAGGGAGUGAAAUCCAGGUCUUCUAGUGAUCUAAAAGAUAAUACCGUCCCUGCAGUUUGGAAAGACGGUGAAUCGGAAAGUGUUUCUCCAUCGAGAGUUUGGCAUGAUUUCACAAGUUCGCCUACUCGUUGCGAUGCUUCAGGAGAGUCUGCUCGAGCUUCUCCUUGCAAAACUGAAGAGAUUGAUGGAGGUUAUGCUGCUUUUGCCAACAGCCAAUUUUGUGACAAAGUGAGCGAUGAAAUAGGCCUUGAUCAUGUUGAUCGAGAGACCAAGUUUUGUGGUAUUGCUUCACAGUCGGACGCUCGAUCCUCUGGGCAGCGUUCUCAUGGAAAUGGAUUUAGUAAUGGCAGCGGUGAACUUUGUGAGGAGGGAAGGUCAUACGAGAAGAACGAGGAGGAAAAGCACUUGGACUCUUCAUUGAUAUCACAUGAUACUAGUGAAAAUUGUGGGUCAAAUGACACUGAAACACUGAAGCCCUGUUCAAUAUCAGUGGAGUCGCCUUUGAGUGAGAACCACGCUCAAAAUGCUGAAAAUAGUGCACAUUUUGAAUUUGGUGACUGGAGAGUGAUUUGGGAUGCUUUUUAUGAGAGAAAUUAUUUCUACAACGUCGAAACACGGGAGUCUACGUGGUAUCCUCCUUCAGGCUUGGAAGACUUUGCUCUUUCCACCAGCACUUGUGCAGCUACUGAAGAGGAUGCACAGGGAUUACAAGAUUUGAGUUGCUCAUUCCAUGAAAAGAAUGUGCAUGAUUUGGAUAAAGAGGAGAAUAAUGUUUACUGUGAAGAAGCUUGCAAUAUACCUGAUUCUUCACUUGAAGAUCCGAAAAACACUAUACAUGAAGUACAAUAUGAAGAAAAUGUGCAAAGUGACUCCUCUACGAUUAAUGGGCUAGACUAUCAUUAUUCAAUUGCUACAACAAAAAAGAAAAAGAGAGUAAGAAGACUCCAAUCACGUAAGCCGAUAUGUAUAGCAGUAGAUAAUCUAUUGAAGAUUUCUCAUCCCUUCAUUUUACUUUUUCUUCACAUCUGCUCGUUGUUUCACCCCGAGUUGAAGAGGGCUGGAUAUAUAGAAGGAACUCAUUUGUAACCUUUCAAACAGGAUGAAGCCCAAUUAUUACCCUAGUUCCUAUUAUACACCGAGUUUUAAAUACAACAAUACUUUAUAUACCUAGGUGAAGAAAUUCUGUGAGCCAAAUGUCUCUCACAAUUCCGUGCGGACUACAUUAACCGUUUUAACUAAGUUUUGCCGUUUUAGCAUUUUUAGCCUGCAUCCUUCCAAACUUCUUUGCAGAUUAUACACCGGUAGCAUCUAAGCUAGUUCUAUCAUGAUUUUUUACUAUAGCUUGAAAUAAGUUUUUUUAAGUUAUUUUUCCUUUCCGCAGAACAUACAUUUCAAGGAGUCAUCGAAGGCCUCUCUACCACUGAUAUCAGCAAGUACUGGAUUCAGAGGUACUCACUUUUUUCUCGUUUUGAUUAUGGUAUAAAGAUGGAUGAAGAAGGCUGGUUUUCCGUCACACCAGAGCCCAUUGCAAGACAUCACGCGUCUCGAUGCGGUAGUGGCACUAUUAUUGAUUGUUUCACGGGAGCCGGAGGAAACGCCAUCCAGUUUGCUAUGAAGUCCGUAACAUUGCUCUUUUUCAUAAGUAAUCCCUUGGCUAUAUAUCUCAUUUGCAAAGGAAUGCUUAAAUCCUUUUUUCCUUUUUUUUUAAAGAAUGUUAGUUGUAUUUCAGGAGCAAUCAUGUUAUCGCUAUUGAUGUCGAUCCAACGAAAAUAGAGUGUGCACAGCAUAAUGCGGCUAUCUAUGGAGUUAAUGACCAAAUAGAUUUUAUAAUAGGUGACUUCUUUCAAAUUGCUCGACGCUUGAAGGUACCAUUACUGUUUCUUUGCCAAGUAUAUUUUGUGGAAUAUGUUCUCCUGAUAUGUGACAUUAAGGUCUUUGCUGCUGAUGGUUUAUCAUCGUAUACGCUUGCAGGGAGACACUGUUUUCAUGUCACCUCCUUGGGGAGGUCCUGACUAUGUUAAAGUGGAAACUUAUGAUAUCAGAACCAUGCUUAAGCCUUGUGAUGGGUUAGGCCUUUGUUUUUAUAGUUCUUUUUAUGAGAUGGUAAUGUUUUAAGAUGAGAAUUAACAUCCGUCUUUUCUUUGAUUUAGAUAUUUUCUUUUCAAAAUUGCAAUGACGAUUGCCUCGAGAAUAGUGAUGUUUCUUCCUCGGAAUGUCGAUCUAAACCAAUUGGCGGAGCUGUCUUUAUCUGUUGAUCCUCCCUGCGAGCUUGAGGUAUAAGUCCAGCUCGAGUUGUCUCCUUGCUUAUAUUUAUUCCUCUGUGUUUCCUCUUUUAUCUGGGUAUCACUUUAAAUAAUCAAAUUUUUGCAGCUUGUAUGCCUUUCCCGUUCUCCGUUAUAAUAAAUUUCUGUCCCCUCUGGUUUGAUAAUGGGGAUCUGUUUUCUGAUUAUUCUUUAAAUUACAACCUAAUUAUAGACGGUGAAAUGAUUGCGGGUGAUUUGAUGUACUAAUUACUGGAACACCUUAAAAUUUUGCUUCUCUGUCAAUCUGUUAGUAUGGAAAUGUUCGGUAAAGAUUAAUAACUUAGUAGUUUCAUGAUAUGCAAGCUCUGUAACGUUUUGAUGUGAUCUAAAAAAGAUAGUUGACUGAGUUGCAUAGAAGCAUCUCUAUUUCUCAUUUCUUCUGCCAUAUUACUGUCAUUAAGCUUCUCAGUCGCCGAACAUGGUUUAGAAAUGCAUUCCUAGAAUAUAGCUGCAUAUAUAUAUUUUUUUCAUAAUCAGAAUAUAAAUAUUAAAAGCUUUUGCUUAAGUAGAAAUGUUUAUUCUGCUGUGUAAUUUGAAAAUAAUCUGCCGUUUCACUUUCAAAAUUUCUCGUCUAUGGUUUAACCGUCACAAAUUUUGCGUUGACCGUGUUGAACAUUUUGCUUGCAGGUUGAGAAGAGCUUUCUGAAUGGAAAGUUUAAAGCAAUUACGGCCUAUUUCAAAGUACGAUGAUGCAGGGAUCAUGCGGAGAUCACUACCUGACUCUUGCAUCGGAGGGGACGAUGAAUCCUGUUUCUUUAUGGCAAAGGAGCUUGUUCAUAUUAGUGAUGAACCUGGUUGGGAGUGUGUACAUCUAGCAUAUGUAUCAAUGGCAUUGACCUAUUUAUUUGGUUCUAUUUGUUACAAAUAUGUUGAUUUUUUGUAUUAAAGUAUGUGCAAAAAUGUGUAAGAAACUCUAGCCUCUUUCUAUGUAUGGAGUGUGACAAUUAGCUUUGAGAGUCAUGAGUUUUCUAUGCAGAUGCUGUUUAAAUAGAAUUGUUCUAAGAAGCAUCUAGUCUAGUUAAGUGGGCCUUAAUGGUUUAGCUGCGGAACUGGAUGUUUCAAAUGAAUUUGAAACUUUAUUACUUUUUGAGGUUCAGAAGCUUGUUUUCUUCGUUUUGCCCCUGUAAGAACUCUAAAAUUUUUGUAACCAUACUCUACUGAGCUUUUUCGCAAUUUACCAUCUAAUACAUGAUUGAGAUUUGAAAAAAAAAAAACUUCUAAAUUAAUAUAAAUGAUUACGAUUACGGCUCAUCAAGCUACAACAUCUUGUUGAGAAACUUUUCAACGAAAUCACGUUGGUGUGGAUAAUUUGAUGUGUAGUAAUGCUUUUAAAUAAUGUAUUUAUUUUCAAAUUCUGUGAACAUCAAAUUGGAGGAAUUUUUUUAUUUUGAGGGAUCUUAAAAUUUCAUUUUUUUUAAAAAAAAUUUCUAUAACACAAAUAAUAAAUUAUUUUUUUAUUACACGUUUUUACUGCGAAUGGCUAUUUGUUCCUAGACGACUGAGCCUUGCAAAAGAGUCAAAUCCAUCACCACAGUUUCGAAAACUACGAUCCGAUCCCCUCUUCUUCUUCUUCUUCUUCUUCUCCGGGCAAUCUCCCUCAAAAUCGAAGGGGAAAAAAACCCUAAAACACGGAUUUGAGAGAGGUGGGAGAAUCGGAGCGAUGCAGAGCUUGUGGCGCCUCACGCUGUUCCUCUGUUGCUUGUGGGCCGCCACUCUCCUCUACGGCGAGAUGGUCGCCUACUGGGUCCCGCUCUCCACCUGCAAAUGGCCCCGCCUCACCCCCUCCUCCUCCUCCUCCCCCUCUUCCUCGGUAAUGAUUCGUAGCAUUUGAGUCGAUUGAUUUUGUGUUCGUUUCGUUUUUGGAUUUCGAAUUGGAUCGGCAUCAAGCGAUUCUAGAAUGGGAAGAACAGGGUUAGCAUUUGAAUCCAUUACUUUUUUGUUUCGUUUUAUGAUAAGAUCUCGAGAUUGAGCUCCUACAGUCCCUAAUUUUAAUUAGAUUGCAAAUGUUCGCACACUAAUCUGAGGAAUUAGUAUAAAGUGAUCCUAGAUUUGGAAAAAUUAGCGAUUGGUGAAGUAGGAAUGAUCUUUAGGGCACAGCAAGGUUUCCAAUUUCGGCUGAAAAUUUAAGGAUUUUCUUUUCAUUUUUACAUAAAUUGUCGCAUUUGCUGAGCAUGUAAUGAUUUAUGAUAUAACGUUUUAGAUUGUACCACCCAUGGUGAAGUUGAUUUGAGCUGAAAUUUUAGCGCUGUUUAAUAUUUGCUAGCGUGUCGUUGUAUUAUACACUUGAUCUUUAUAGCUGAUGGUGUAGGAUUCAGUGAGUCAAAUUUUGCGAUAAGAACACUACCGAAUUAUUUAUUUAUUUAUUUAUUUUUUCUGAAUGCUACUCCACUUAUUAUAUGUAUAAAAUGCUAAUACAUGUCAUUCUUGUUUGUUAGUUAUUGUUAUUGUUCCAGUGUGUAAUAGUUUUACAAUGCCCUCUUGGCAAUGUUUGAAAUUUGUUUACGAACUUGGUUUAAUUUCCUUGUAUUUACUUUCUUUGACAGGUGAAGGUUGCUGUUGUGGCUGAUCCACAGGUUAACUUAAUUCCACUGCAACAUUAAAUAGAUAUCUCAUCUAAUUUUUUAUGCUUAAUGUCAUUUAGUUCUCCAAAGCACUGCUUUAUUCUACUCUUUCCUUGCUACUCUGAAAGAAGUUUUCAUUGCAGCUUAUGGACAGCACCUCACUUGGACUUGCUCCUGAUUCGUUUGCCCUAGAAGUUGCCCAGUUUUAUACAGAUUUGUACAUGCGAAGAGCUUUUCAUACAUCUAUACUGCCUUUUAAACCUGACGUGGUUUUAUUUCUGGGUGAUUACUUCGAUGGGGGUCCGUAUAUGUCGGAUGACGAGUAAGGCACGGUUCUUAGAUUCUUUUUCUUAUGUUCUCUAAAAUUGCUUUUACCAUAGAAUACCUAGUAUUAUUUUAUCUUUAUGCUCAAUUUUUUUUUUGGAUUUUGGCUUUCAAGCAAACUUUGGACUGGCUUAACAAGAAUCAAUUAAUCAACAUACUUACUACUUGGGCAAUCUAUAUAGCUAUAUCUUUAGAUUUUCUCUUUGACGAUCCUCACAGGUGGCAGGAAUCGUUAAGUCGUUUUAAGCAUAUAUUUGGUGUGAAUGAGAAAAGAAGAGAUUCUGACACUCCAUACUACUACCUGUGUGGAAAUCAUGACAUUGGCUAUGCGGCUUUUCACUCCCAACAUCCCGAGGUAGUUUCUUAUUGUAAAAUUUAUCAUUUUUGUCAUAGUUUUUGCUGGUUUUGUUCCUACACUAGUUUGUGCAAGAGAAGUAAAUAUACGACCAAGUAUACUAAUUUGCCAUUGAAUUACUUUCUGCCGAAGAAUCAAUUUAAGAAACACUGCUGGCACAAAACUAAGGGCCUGAAAAAGGUAGAAAAGGUUAAAAUUAAAAAGUUAAAAUUUUGCCCCAGAAGAAAACAAUCAAUGUGAAUGUGCAUGAUGAACAAUAACCAAGCUAGAGCCAGAUAAUCUUAAAGCUCUUUUCCUUCUUAAAAAAAUCCUAGAUGUCGGUAAUAGAGCCUCGUAGUUGGUCAUAUUAUAGUAAGCUUGGUUAUUUCUUGGGAAACCUUAGUUGUGAGAACUGCGUAGGAUUGUUGAUUAAUGCUGAAAAGCAAAAAAAAAAAAAUGUAUACGUGGAUAAAAUGGCAUUGCACGGGUGGUCAGAACUGUACCAUUUCUGUGCACUGCAUGACAUUGGUUUGCAUCGUUUCUGUCUAUUCCUACAUCAUUUCCUACACUAAAUCAUGUCGUGCAAUUCUUGUUAUCUUUUACUCUUCUCUAUGGACUUUAAAGGCUGAUUUUGGCUAAUUUGGAUUUGUGUCUCAUGGUUUUGUUUGUGCCACUGAGUUGCUCCUGUGCUAUUGUUUGCAUGUCUCUACAGGCCUUGCUGUCAACUCCUGUUAGAAUUUGUUUUUCAAUUGGGUUUUGAUUCAAACAAAAGGGUUUCGGUCGAGUUUUGAUCGAACCCUGACCUUAAUCCCAAAUUCAUCCCAUUUCUCUUCCAGUCUUCCUUUCCUUUUCUUCCUGCUCCAUCUAUAACCAAGCCCUUGCUACGGCAUCAUUGCUGCCUUUAGACCCUUCUCCUGCCUUAUGUGGUCACCACUUACCAGACCAGCCGCCCAUCUCCCAGCAGCACCACUCACUAGACCAUCCACCCAUCACCCGCUGCUGCUGGGAGGAGGGGAGGUUUUAAUGCUUGCAUAUGCAAAAUAGAGUUGAAGGAAUGUCCUAGCAGAAAAUAGAAGCAGUGAUCUCAGGGAACCUGGAUGAAACAAAUGAAACCAUGGGACACCCCAUGUGAAAAUGCCUUUGAAUUUAUCCUUUAUAUUUUGUCAAUUGAUUUAAGAAUUUUAUUGUGAUAGGUGAUCAGUCGGUAUGAGAAUGAGUUUGGAUCAAGAAAUUAUCACUUUUCUAUUGGAAAGGUGAAUUUCAUUGUUGUUGACGGUCAAACUCUUGAUGGUAUGUAGCAACUACUUGAAAUUUGAGUUUGAUGUUUCUUUACUAAUUGAGAAAUAUAGAGUUGACCCAUCAGCCAGAUGAAAUGCAUUAAUCUUCACAUGUUAUUGGAUACUGGUUGAUGAUCUUGACUUAUAUUCUAAUAGAUAUAGAAUGUCUUUGUCAAGUACUAUACUGACAAAAUUCUGAGAAUUUUGUAUAAAGUAUGUUCUCAGCUAGGUUAUUUUAUUUUAUUUUUGUUGCACAGUACCUAUUGAAUUGAGUGCUAUUUAUCAUGUUAGUAUAUUUGUAUGAAGACCCUUUGAUUGAUGAUGGUCAUCAAGCAAUAUACAGCUGUAGGGGGACGAUAGAGUUUUUGUAGAUGAAUCUAAUUAAUUGGAAAUCCAUAUAUUAGUGUCAUUAGGCUGUUAUCUGUAUCUCUAGCAUUUUUUUUUUGUGGGUGGACCUACUAACCUGGCUUUCUUGUGUGCAUGUAUACAAUUUCCAUUGUAUAUUUGCUUGCUAACUGAUUCAAUUGUAUACAUGAUGGGUGAUGGACAUCUAUUAAGCAGGGCCCAAACAAGGAAAUCAAACAUCAUUAUCCUGGAACUUCAUAAAAAAUAUAUCAAAUGGUAUGUGAUCUGGUUUAUCUGAAUACCGCUGCUUACUGUGAUUUUUUAUUUAAGAUCAAAUUGGUUGACUAACACUUCUCUAUCUUUUAGAUAUUAAAUCAAAUCCAACAGUCCUACUGACACACAUUCCUCUUUAUCGUCCUGAUAACACACAUUGUGGCCCGUAUCGUUCAUCCCCUGUUAUAAAUCAGGUACUUUUUCUUCAUAAUUUGGGAACAAUGAGUUACCAAGAAGUAGAGGUGUAAUACAAAAUUGCUGCUUUCAAUCAGAAAGAUUGUUGUGUUGUGUCAUUAUUUCUACCUGUCAGCCUUACAUUAUGUAAUAUGUGGUUGGAUCGUAACUUUUAAGUCAAACAAAUGCCGUUUACAUGGAGAAACUGAUUCAAUUCUUUUCUUUUUCAGAGAAUUUCUUAUGCUGCAUUUGAUCAAGGAAUUACGUAAGUCCCUAUUUCUUAACUGAUUUUAUUGCUUUAAUGAAUAAGUUCAAUAGAGCGGUAAGGGUUACUUUCUUGGAAUGAUAAAGCACAAGAGAGACUGCAAUUAUGAAUAUCUUCCCCUAAGCCUUUUGUUCGAGCUUGUUUGUUGCACUCAACUGAUUCAGACAUUUAUAGGUCAACGCUUACAGAGAAUUCAUACUUAAGUGACUGAUGAAACUUUACUAUGUUGAUGUAGGUAUCAAAACUAUCUUGACAAGGAAACUUCAAACCUUUUACUAAGCUCUAUCAAGCCAGUAAACUUCUCACUUUGUAGCAAUUUUCCAAGAUACUUAGAAUCAUAGGAGUACCACCUUUUUACUUCAAUUAGGUUAUUGCAGAUACUGGUGCUCUCUGGCCAUGAUCAUGAUCAAUGUACAGUUUUCCACUCAACUCCUUUCGGAUCAGUACUAGAGGUGAGAAAAUUCUAGAAUAGUCUUAGUAUUGGUUUAUAAUAUUAAUCUGCAUCUAAAAUUUUCCUUCAUGCAGCAUACCCUUGGGACUAUAAGCUGGCAGCAAGGAAAUCUCUAUCCAUCAUUCAUGCUGAUGUCUGUAGCAUCGCGACUAUUGCCGAAUGCGACUGAGCCAGAAAACAGUGUCUCUACCCUUCUUUGUUUUCUUCCGAAGCAAACCCACAUCUAUAUCUGGUACUACAACUAGUUCGAGACUCUUAAAUAUUUAUUUUGAAAAUCAUCUAUUCACGUAUAUACCCUGUAAAAGUUGAAUAUUCAUAUAUAUAUGCACAUUGAAAGUGUAGUUUUUCACGGUACAGAAAUAACCUUAUCUUAAGCUGAGGCACCAUCUUAUUCAUAUUAAGUUGGUUUUCUAUUAAUGAAAAAAAAUUAAAGAGGGGAAUCUUUUCUACAUUGAGGGGUAUGUAUGAAAGAAAUUAAGUUUGGUAGGGCAUAUAUUGCUGAAUUAUGACUUGUUUGUUGUUGUGAAAAUUGACAACACACUACCCUUUUGUAUUUUUCAGGUAUAUUUGUCAGUUUGUAUUAACUCUUCUUCUGCUUAUAAUUUGGCCAACGACUGGUUUUGGUUCUUGGAGUUAUCUCGAUAGAUUUUUGGAUGUCAUCAAAGCAAUCGGCAACAACUUUGGCAACACUGCCAAAGAGAAGGAUGACGAGGAAAACUGUGACUACGAAAUGAUAUGGGACGCGGAAGGAUCAAUGCACCUUGUUAAGAAAGCCACAUCGAAGGCCCCAAACAUUAAUUCGGAGGCGAUAAAAACAGGGAGGUAAUGAGAACAUACUUGCCAAACUUUGCAGACAUAGGUUUUGAAUUGCCGCAAUCAGUGGCCAGAAAUUAAUCACCUGCGGUCAAACCCCCCCUCCUUGUCCAUUGCUUUUUGUGUUGGAUUUGGGGUUUUUUGCAAAAAUAAUCCACUAUUCCACUAUCCUAUGGCUUUGCGACUUCGUCGACAUUUCGUGAAUACGCAAUUUUGGUCCAAAAGUUUGCAAAUAAGGAAAAGAGGAAUCAGGAUCACAAAAUCAAAAUCAAGUUCCUUUUCUUUUCCAUUCGUGCAAAAUAGCCUCAUUUGAGUGGUGUGAUGGUUGUGAUCCCAUUUAGCACCGAACUGAUUAAAUAUUUAUUGUGACAGGGGAAACGUUGUUGCGAGACCAACAGCAAGGAAGCACAUGAUGGAGCCAGGGCCAUCAGAUUACAUCGAAAUUAAUACGGAAGCAAGGUCAGAUGAUGCAGGAAAAGUGCCGCGGUUCACCAAGUCAAAGGCAACGAGGCUGGUUCAGCGGCUGAUUCGGGUGAUUCGGUUGCUUGUAGUUAUCGCUGCCGUGAAUGUUCCUCUCUAUAUGAUGCUUCUCUUCAAGGAUUGGAUCGAACGGUGACUAACAAAUAUGACGCCACCGAUGUUUUCUCCGGAGGAUACAGUAGGAACGCAUAUGGAAUAUUACCCUAGAAAUUCUUGUAUUUGUGUAGAUUCAUGGAGCUAACGGUUUGAACUUCAAAAAUUGUGGAUGAAGCAAAAGAAGCAACAAGAUUGUGCGUUGGGGUUUCUGUGCAGCUUGAUGCCGUUAUAGACGAAUAGGCGAAUCAUGCACGUAGAAGGCAUUGGUUUUUUUGUGGUGCUGGAUAAAAUAAUCUUUGUAGGAUUGGUAAAUUGAUUUGUCUGUUGAGGCGCAAAAUAAGAUUUUGGAUUGGUCUAAGCAUGUGAAUCUUUAAUAAGCGGUCAUUUUUGUACUUGAAAGGGAAAAAAGAAGAAGCAAGUGAAAAGGCCUAUGCACUGGUGAAAAGCGGGACUCGAAGGUAGAAAUGAAGAUUUAAAGCUCGGUACUUUCAACAAAUAUGUAAAACUGAUUCAUAAAUAAUAGUGUUUGCCUAGGGUUGGUGGAGUGGUAGUUAAUUGAAUUGUAUGAUUUAAUCGAUGAAAAUGGUUAAAAAGAUAAAUCUAAUGACGAGAAAUUUGAUAGCACCCAGCGUUUGUUGCUAUUGAUAGCAUAGUAGUCGAACUCUCUCUCUCUCUCUCUCUCUCUCUAUGUAUAUAGAGUUUCUUUACUAUACUAUCAAUACUAUUUGAGUUAUUUUAGCUGUGAGAUUUAUUCCUUCGUUUAUUUUUAUUACUGGAUUAAUAUUAUUUAACCAAUUAUCAUUAAAUCUUACCUGAAUAGUAAAAAAAAAUUCAAAUAUUAUUAAUAAUAUAGAAGCUCAAUUGUAUAUAUAUAGAGAGAGAGAGAGAGAGAGAGAGAGAAUUACGUUGGAAUGUUUCUAAUUGGUGCUAUUAGAUUUUCGGCACUUGGAUGAAGGGAUAUAUAGUUAGAGUGAUAGUGGUUUCUCUAGAAUUGAGUGGGUGAUUGAUUGUAUAGUAUAACCUAACAGAUGAAAAUAAUCAAAGAGAUAAAUCUAACGAUAAAAAAUUUGAUAACAUAAGUACUUAAUGCUAUUAGAAACACUCCAGCCAGAUUAUAUACAGAUAUAUAUUGUAUGUAUAAAUAAAUAGUUGAGAAAAAGAGAAUGGAUUGUUUAAUUAACCCUUAAAAUUAUUAUUACCAUUAAGAUUCGACAUUCUUAAAAUAAUAAAAAGAAAUUGUACAGCUUUGUAAACUGUUCUGCCAAAUGAAAUAAAGACAAAGUUAUUCUCCAACAGCAGUAUACUGCUUCCGGGGACAUCUUGUCAUAUCCUCUAGUCUUGAAGUCAAAUCAGCAAACUCCAAAGAAAGCAGCCUCCAUUUGUCGAGAAACAAAAUCACACGAAAGCUCAAUAUACAAAAUCAGUGGCUUGAUUGUCCAGCUGCGAGUUCCGCCAUCCGGUUGCGCAUUUUGUAUUGCAGCAUGGCCGGAGCGCAGUCGAGAGGCGUUUCACCUGAAUAAAGAAAGGUGUAUAAGAUUUGUAACCCCUGACCCUUGUAGAAAUGUUGCGAUUCAUCUAUAUCCGUUGACAAAUUUAAGAGAUUGGAAACAGCUUUGGACGAGUGAUGUAUGAUAACCUUCUUAUUCUUAUUUUGGGAGGUGCAUGCACUGGAAUUGUUAUUUUCUCUUUUCAGAAUGACAGAAAUAUAACAUUAGAAGAGAGUGCACAAGAGCAAAGGCAAUCAGUCCAAAAAACAUAGAAUCAAUGCUGAUCAUGCAGUCCAUUUCAUGAAAUUGCUCUUUGAGUAAUGGCGCAGGUAUAUUUAAAUAAUGGAAAAGCAGUAACCUUGCCCAUUCUUGCAUUCCACGUUCGCUCCAUUAUCCAUGAGAAUAAGAGCAAUCUCGGUCUGAUUAAAUAGUGCAGCCUGCAAUCAUUGAUAGAGGAAUCUCUGUUAUAACAGAAAAACCAUGAUAGAUACAUUGUAACAAGCUUAUGGAAUAUCAAUCGACGUCUGUAAGCUGUUCAAUGUAUCCUCGUUCCAACAAUUGUGGCACACCUGCCUUCUAGAAAUUCAAACAAGACGACAAAUCAAGUUAUGACAUACCAAAUGCAGCAAAGUGAAACCUUGCUUGUCACAGUAGUUUGCGUCCACUCCCUGUCCAAUGACGAUAGAAAGAUUUUGAUUAAUGAUAUAGUUAGUGCAACGGGAAGAAGGAAACAAAGAUACCUGACUCAGUAGUUUUCUGACAGCUGGAACAUCACUGUUCUUAAUUGCUUCCCUUAAACCCUGAAAAUAUAAUGACGAGUGCUGAAUGAAAUCCAGUGCUAGAAUAUGGUUAAACCAUGAAACAGAAACAUGUGCCUAUUAGCUAGUUUCUGACCUCUCCAGUGACUUCAUAAUCCGCAUGACCCUUAUCUGAGCUAGUAUUGUUUGUUUGACCAAGAUUAAAAAAUGAACUGCAUGGACAUUACAAACAAGUCAAGAAGAAAGAUUCAAAUGUAGAGAAGAGCACAUUAAGCUGAUGCAUUUGGUACUCUAAUAAGAAAGCCAAUAAAAAAUUGACAAGUGGCAAUUUUAAAUAGAUGAAAAAAAAGUUGAAAAACAUGAUAGAAAGUUGCAAUUAUAGUGCUGAGAUGGAUGAAAAGAAUGUGAUAACAUGUUGCACAUGUAAUAAUGCUAAGUGCCUACUCAGCCAAGCUUCUGGACAGCUUCUAUACCCUGAAAAGUAGCAAUUAAGAGUUUGGCAAAUGGAAAGUAGACGUUGUUAAGGAGGUUUUUAAUGAAAGAGCUAUUAUUGCUUCUUCAAACAACACUAGUCAAACACAUUUCUGCAGGAUCUCCGGCCAGGCCAAGUGCAUGAAAAAACCCAUCCGACUUCACUCUUCAAGCUUACAGGUACAGGUUGGCAUUAUGCUAAGCUAAAAUCAUGGUGCCUUAGACAUCAAAAGUUUUGGAUAUUGAAAAACAGUAGUGUCUACUUCUAUAUAACCUAGAAUUGCUGGCUGAUGAAGCUCCGGAUUUCUUUGUACUGGAUUCAGCAGAUUGUUGAGUGCUGAUAGCUUUCUUUGGUCUUGGGUUGGACUGCACACUUGAUGAAGAACUAUGAACCUGCAAUUCAUCGAGCACAGGAGGAUGCAAACAUCGAAACCAUGUUCUAGUCAACUUAACAAUUACAAAUAAUUAUUUACCGGUGCAGGAGGAGGAUCUGGUUUUGGGGCUUCACAUAUACACAAAGGCAUUCCACAUUUGCACUCUAAAGCUCCUACAUUGUGAUCUCCCGAAGUUGGUGCAGAUGAAGGAACAUUAUCCUCACCUAUUUUUAGCCUUGAAAUGGUGUCGGUUGCAGCAGCAAUGGCCUCCGAAGAAGUUUCUUUAUCAACAUUUCCAGAACUAAAGCAACAUAGAAGGGAAAUAUAUCAUCAAAAUCCAGCAUUAAGAAGCUAUUCCUUAUCAACAAAAGUUCCCAUAGUUACCACGAUAGAGAAAGCGAUAAAGGCUGUAUUUAUUUGUUGCCAAAUUAGCUUCAUGCUUUACCACAAGGAACAUGAAACAAGCAAUCAUAAUGGUACACUAUAGCAGAAAUUUUAGCACACCUCGUAUCACCAAAAAACUUAUAAACACCCGUCAAUAAGUUGACCUAUGGACUACUUGUGCACAUCAAAACCUAUGAAUAUCAUAUAUGGGAAGCAGCUGGACCGUUGUCCUGGUGCAAUUUUCUUGGAAGUACAAUCAUGAAUUGAAGUUUGCAAACCAAUUAAGAGAAAAGAUAGCAAUCAUCUCAAGUUAUAUACGACUAUGCAUCUAUAUCAUCAAAGAACAUAACUUUUAUAUAAUCAAGACGAAAGCAACAUUGAGAACACUACCGCGAAGAUUUGUUGAAACAUUCAUAGCAGACUCUGACAUCUGUAUAUAUGCCAUAUUGAGGCAAAGCCUGAAAAUAUAACAUGAAUUUCAGUAGGAAGUAUAUAACCUCAAGUUUAUAUUUCGUCACUUCAAUAUGAAUAAACAAGUUUUAUGCACAGAACUGUGGCAAAAUGUACCAUGUGAUAUGAUGAAUGUUCAUGGCAUAGUGUCUUCCCACAACUUCGGCAGUGAUGCUGGGCAAGAAAAGUACCAAAAGUAAGAAGCAUGUCAAACACAAGAAAGCUUGACAAUGUUCACACUUGGUUACUUAGUGGAAAGCUAGAUUUAUAUUAGCUAAAUAGUAUUUUCUGCGGAACAUCAUCAAAAAUCUAUAAACCAACUUAUAAAUCACUAACCUAAUUAUCGUGGGCGGUUAUAAUAAAUAUUUACUCAAAAAAAUAUGGUCCCUCUUAAAAGAAUGUCUACUUUAGUGGAGCCAUCUCUCAACAAUAUGGAAAAAGUCUAAUCAAACCUCGUUCAUUAGUAAAGCAUGCCUCUUAUAUUAAUUUGAAGCUUUAAGAUAGAUUCAUCUCUCCGAAAUUUCUCAAAAUCAUCCUAUCCUGUGUCUAUAAUUGCGCCUUAGCCCUGAAUACGCCGUUCAACUGUGUAGAGUAUGUAAUAUAAACAUUGAAGAAGAAUGGUUGUGACAAAAGUUGUUUCCUUGGGUUCUUAGUCAUGAGUAUAUCAAAAAUCAAAGCCUCCCAAAAGCAUUAUCCUCAUGAAUGUCAAUAACUGCUCCAACCGAACAAUACCAAUUCUCAAAUCAAACACACACUAAACCUAAUAUAGCAUACAAAUGAGAGAGCACUAGAAAUUGAAGACCCAUCACAAAAACUAAAACCAAUAAAUAUGCCCUAAAUGCAAUAAGAGUUUCUGCAAAUCCGAUUAGAUUAAUAAGCAAUUCGGCAAAUCGCUCUCGCCCAACCCAAUCAAAAUGUCUCAUAAAUCUCUGCUUCGCAGCAAUCGGAAUAGCUCCCGAAGGGAUUCGAUCGCUCUCUACGAAACAAAAUGAAGAGAAGGGUCUAAAUUCAUUAGGUCGAAUCUGAUCCUCGAGCGGAAUAGAAAGAAUCGGAGAUCUAGAGAGAGAGAAACGAGUUGACGAGUUGCGAUUAGGGCGAAGCGCGUACCCUUCGGCGAAAGGUGGUGAAGCUACAGUGGCAAACGUCGCAGCGGGAAGCCUCUUGGAAGAGGGGUGGAGUCUCCGCCAUGAUCGGACCUUCGGAAGCUCGAUCUCGAUGAGAGAGAGAGAGAGAGAGAGAUAGAGAGAGAGAGGAAGGAGAAAGGUGGGACAGGGACGAGAGACGAAGAGGGUCGGGACGAGAGGAUUGUAAUCGGUGUAAAUUUGCACUUAUAGUCCCCUGAAUUUUACCAAAUUUCAUUUUGGUACCUCUAAACCCGCACGUGCGCUGCACGUGCAAUGAACCAUCCAUCUAUUUCUCCCUCUCCCGACGCGAACCCGAUCCAUCCCACCCCACUUCGUUCGACAUCCUCUCUCUCCCUCUCUCUCUCUCUGUCCAUAAACCCUAGAGGGAACCGCACCAUGGAUCUCCUCAAGGGCUACGCCGACGAGGACGAGGACAUGAAACCCUCGGAAGAGGAAUCAUCAGAUCCAUCAAACCCUAGCGGCCACGGGGGCGCGGCGGCGGCGGCGGCGGAGGCGCCCUCGUCGCCGGAGUCGGGCUCCUCCUCGUCCCCUCCUCGCCUCUCCCUCGGGUCCAAAUCCUCCGCCCCGUCCGUGGACGAGACGGCGCUCGCCCUCACGGCGGCGGGCUCGGCGCGCUCCGCCCACCGCCCCCUCGACCCGACGCAGCACGCCGUGGGCUUCAACCCCACCUACGACCAGCUCUGGGCCCCCGUGCUCGGCCCCGCCCACCCCUUCGCCAAGGACGGCCUCGCCCAGGGCCUCCGCAACCACAAGCUCGGCUUCGUCGAGGACGCCGCGAUCCAGCCCUUCCUCUUCGACGAGCAGUACAACACCUUCCACAAGUUCGGCUACGCCACCGACCCCUCCGGCCUCUCCGUCGUCGGCGACCUCGACACCCUCGCCGCCAACGCCGCCCUCUCCGUCUACAACCUCCCCCCGCAGGAGCAGAAGCGCCGCCGCCUCCACCUCAAAUCCAGAGAUCACGACGCCGACGCCGACGCCGGCGCCGGCGCCGGCGCCUCCUCGGCGGACGCCGAGAACCCGGCCACCGACGACUGGCUCCUGAAGAACCGCAAGAGCCCGUGGUCCGGGAAGAAGGAGGCGGUCCAGGGCGAGCUCACGGAGGAUCAGAGGAAGUACGCCGAGGCCCACGCCCAGAAGAAGGCGGAGAAGGAGGGCCGGGGCGAAGGCGGGAGAGGGGACAAGCCCGAGCUCGUCGUCAAGAGCACCUUUCACGGCAAGGAGGAGCGCGACUACCAAGGCCGCUCGUGGAUUGCGCCGCCCAAGGACGCCAAAGCCACCAACGACCACUGCUACAUCCCCAAGAGAUUGGUUCACACAUGGAGCGGCCACACGAAAGGGGUCUCCGCCAUCCGCUUCUUCCCCAAGCACGGCCACCUCCUCCUAUCUGCUAGCAUGGACUCCAAGGUUAAGAUUUGGGACGUGUUCAAUUCCGGCAAGUGCAUGCGCACUUACAUGGGCCAUUCGAAAGCAGUUCGCGACAUCUCCUUCUCCAACGACGGCUCCAAAUUCUUGAGCGCGGGCUACGACAAGAACAUCCAGUAUUGGGACACCGAAACUGGCCAGGUGAUCUCCACUUUCUCUACGGGAAAGAUCCCCUACGUUGUUAAGCUGAACCCGGACGAAGAUAAGCAGAACAUUCUUCUCGCGGGGAUGAGCGAUAAGAAGAUCGUCCAAUGGGACAUGAACUCUGGUCAGAUCACGCAGGAGUACGAUCAACAUCUAGGGGCGGUGAAUACCAUCACUUUCGUGGAUAACAACCGAAGGUUUGUUACUUCGAGCGACGAUAAGUCCCUUAGGGUUUGGGAAUUUGGGAUUCCGGUGGUUAUAAAGUACAUCAGCGAGCCCCACAUGCACUCCAUGCCGUCGAUAUCUCUACACCCGAAUUCGAAUUGGCUUGCGGCCCAGAGCUUGGACAAUCAAAUACUUAUUUAUAGCACAAAGGAGAGGUUUCAGCUGAACAAGAAGAAGAGGUUUGCUGGGCAUAUUGCGGCAGGGUACGCGUGCCAGGUGAAUUUCUCUCCGGACGGGCGGUUUGUGAUUUCGGGCGACGGAGAGGGGAAGUGCUGGUUUUGGGAUUGGAAGAGUUGUAAAGUGUUCAGGACUUUAAAGUGUCACGACGGUGUUUGCAUAGGUUGCGAAUGGCAUCCGUUGGAGCAGAGCAAGGUGGCGACUUGUGGAUGGGAUGGCAUGAUCAAAUACUGGUAAGCUUACGUAUCAUUUUCUAUUUUCUUUUGAAGAGGCAUACUAGAGCAGUUAAUUGCAUAAUCUUUUAGUGAUGAUAAUAUUUGUGCUUGCUUGUGUGAUGUUUCUUCUCACUGUGCUGCUUAGGAUCUUCUCGUUAGUUUGCUGUUGAUUUGCUUUCUUUAAGUAACUCAUAAAAUUAACUUUGCCUUACAAAAUUAAGAUCAAUGGACAAGAGCACCAACAACAAGAAGAGUAAUUAGUGUUUAGUUGCAACUGUACGGGGCUGGCUUUGUUUUAGGUAAAACUCUUCUUAAACCAAUGUCAUCAUGUUAUUCCUCACUACUUCCCCUAGAGUAAAUUCUUUUAUCUCCACUUUUCUCUUCUCGAAUUACUUAUUUGUCUUAGUCUCUUUACUAGCAUACCAGAUGCUCUCAUUUCCUUGCUCUUUUCCGUCAAUUGUUGUAGUCAGGUUUUGUCAUUGAAUAGUAGUACGUCUUGAGGCAUAGGUGUUUUGGUGCCAAAGUUCAUGUCUUAGUGUUAGAUUCUCUAUAGUAUAUGAAAAUUCAUGAUCUCGUGUUAGGUUUUCAUUUCAGAAUUUAUAGGUAAGGUUCAUUCAUCAUUUCAAAGCCUUUUUCACUGAGGUUUUAGCUCAGUGGCAGUUUAAUAGUGUUUUAAGAGCAAGAGUGGUGGCUUACUAAUAUAAAGAGCUGAUAGGGGAAAAAGGUACAUAUCUCAGCAGUUGCAGUUGAUACAGCAAACUGUUUAUAUCAAAUCACCUCGUAACGCUUUGCUAGAUCCACAAUGGUUUGACGAAUGGUAAUUUGUCGAACCAGUUAUUCUGUUCAAGGUAUAACUGGAAAAGUGUUCCCUUGAUGAUGAAUGUUGCUGCCUUGUUCUAACCUGCACUGGAAAAGUCAAUCCACUUCAUAAUAUACCUUAAGCAAGAAUCUUAAUCGCUAUAAUUGAAUAUUCUUUUGACAUCAUAUUUGCACUUUACAUUUUGGGUAUCCUUGGAAUCUCACUCUUUAUUGCUUUACUUCUCCUAUCUCAUGGUUAUGCCAUUCUUGCAGGGACUAAUUCGACGGUGAUUCCAAAAUUCACUCAGAAAGUUCUUUCAUUACUCAAGGUUGAGAAGCCUGCGAAAUAUAGAGGAUCUUGCCGUUGAUCAAAUUUUCAUGGUCGAACAUCCGUACGCGUUGAGCUAAUCCCGUUGUAUCUGCUCCUAAAAGUCAUCAAUCUAUCGGCCUGCUGAGCUAUCAUUGUUGUAACUGCUUAUUCUAUCUGGUCCUUUAUUAAGCAAGGAUAUGUAACAAUAGUUAUGUUACUGUGAAAAGCUAUGGCAUCUUUAUAAGUGCUUCACUCUGAGUAACUUUUUUUUCCCCCCUUCUGACUCCACUCCACUUUGUUGGUCUCAUUUUUGAGGUUGUUUCAGUACAGAGGUUUAGUUAACCAUGGAGAAACCUGGCUACUUGUUCACCAUUUUUGUAUCCCCACUUUUUUUUUUUUUCUAAACUUAAACAGAUUAUCCGUGAUCCAACUAAUUUGAUGUUUGAUAUAUUGGUUGGAAAAUUUACAAGGAUUUGAAAUUCUUAUGAGCAAGCUCUUGUGUGCUUGCAUAGUUUUGUUACUAGUCACUAGCAAAUGCUAUUACCUCUAGAAAAGUUAAAGUGUUCAAAUUUGACACAUUCUAUUUAGCGCAUUGGGAACUUAGGACGGACAAAAGUUCCAUGAUGUCAAGCUCAUUACCGAAAUUCUCUGGAACACAUGUAUGGUUUGCUUCAACAGGGCAAGAAGAAAAAGAAAGCCAAAAAAAGAAAAAAACUUUUUACUACUAAACCAAAGUAACAAUUGAAUGCCUUAAAUCUGAAAUAUACAAGCCGCAAAUGAUAUGGUUAAACUUAACAAUGUCUUAAAUGCAACCUGCAGACACCGAUGACGAUUACAUCCCUGACCAGUAUAACAUUUCUGCAGAACUUUUGAGAUUAUCGCAUUCGUUUCUGUCGGUUCAAUGCUUCUCUUUCUUCUUCUUCUUAUUUCCAUUCGCAAAUUGCUGCCCAAGUGUCAGAAAAGGUCUUCUUGCAUGGAUGUAACAGUUGAGAGGUGACCGCUGAGCUUUACUGCACCUCCCCAUAUCUUCCGCAUAUCUGUUAUCUGAGUGCCUGCUUAAGAAAACACCCAAGUAUUUAUCGAAAUUCUACAAUAGUUUCUCACUAGAAGCACAAGUAAAGAAGUUCACUUUCCUGAAUCUCAUUUAAACUUUCUAGUACAGCAAAAGCCCAAAACUUGAUUUAAACUCAACAAAUUGAUCGAACCAAGACAAUUGAUCCUCAAUCAUAAGUGAAUUAGAGGGAACUAACAGUUUGCAUCUAAUGAGACUGCUAGUAUUUCACAAGCAUUCAUCGGAUGAAUAAUCGCUAACUCAUCAUGAUGACCAAAGUUGAAAAAUACGCCGCGAACUAAGCAAAUGCUAUUAGAUAUAUGCCAUUCGACAGAAUUAUAUAAAUUCAAACUGUAGCAAUUCAUCAGGAUAUCCUGCAAAAUGGUUGAUCUAAGGUCAGUCGAAAGGAAACACAAAAUGCUGUAAACAUUCAGCCUAUUUACUCGAGAUGCAAACAUAAAUUUGCAGCAGAUACCAUAGAAAUAUUAAUCAACAUAAAUUACUCAAGCAAAAAUAAUUCAAAAGCAUAAAGAGUCCUCAGAUAGCAAAUUAAUAUCAUGCACAACAGCUACUUCUGGUUAUUCAUUCGGCACUUGCGAUCCUGAAUCCUCCUCAUUGGACAUUAAAAUUGCUUAUUUAGUAGCAUAUCAACAGUACAAAUAAGAAUUUACCACCUGAUACAGAGAUGGACUAGCACUAGAUCAUAUGCCUCAAUCCAACAAAGAAUCCUACAAAUGUAAACAAAUUAAUUUCAUCUUGGCACAUCGUAAUCUCUAUGCAAGAAAUGAACCAAUUACAACUGCAGUGUGAGAACAGUUGAUGAUUCGGAGAGAAAUUUCUUCGUAAUGAGAGUAACUAACAAAUUAAUCUUAAUUAAUACCAUUUGCUGUAUAUGAUUUACAUGGAUAUAUUCUAGAAUACAGUAAAAAUACUCAAAUUUGGUAAAAUAAAUCAUGCAAAAUAGCUAAAAAUUAUCAAUAAAAAAAUAAAUUAUGCAAAACUCUUGAGCCCUCAGAAACGACAUUUGAAAUCAUAGAAACAGCUACUUUUAAAAGCUGAAUUAAUCAUACGGCACUUGCAAUCUACAAGAUCUCAUCACUGGGCACUCAAAUAUACAUGAUCAAAAACAUGUAAAUAGGAUACGGAUUAAGGGGGCGAAGUAUGAUCAAAACCCUAAUUCACAAAAUUUAGAACGCGAAAAGCGAUUUAGUAGUAGAGAGACCCGGCGCCGCCUCUCAUUGCGCAGGGGCGAGAGAACUUCCAAACCCUAGGUUUUGAGUGGGUAGUAAAAUGUACUGUGAACCCCUCACCAAAGGACUAAUUUGAAAUGAACCCUUAACGUUUUAUAAACAACCACCCAACGAGUAUCAAACCAAGUUAUUUUUUGUUCAUCUAUGAAUUGUAUUUUGCUUAAAUAUUAAAUAUCAAAGUUAUAAAUUUUUAAAUGUAACUUUAGAUUGAUUCGACUCAUUUGAUUAUUGAAUACGAACGUGAUCAGUUUCAGGCUGGUCAAACCAUAUAAAAAAAAAAGUAUAUAUAAUUUGUCAUUUUUUAAAAAACAAAUUUUAUCCGCAAAAUAAAAUAAAAUUUUUUAAACAAAGAUUUUAUUUUUGACAAUUGAAAUUUUGGCUGAAUACGGUGCACAUAACUGCAGUAACAAAUUACUUUGUUGCUUUUUGUGUGUGAUAGUACGUCAUGUGAAUCGGACUGUUCUGAACCAUUCUAUUCUAUAUUAAGUCAAUUUUUUAGAUAGUAUAGUUUAGCCAGUUCCAAACUUUCUUUCUUUCAAAAAAUUUUAUUAUUUUAUGGUAUGCCUAUUAACUAAUUCACUGUCUCUUUCAUUAUAUAAGCACGUAACACAAUUUAUCUAGCAUUUAUUGUGUACGUGAGUGAGUGUGUUAAAACUAAUCAUAGAUCAUAUUUUACUAGAUCAAAUUUUCAGUAAUACCCAACAGUAUUAAACAUAUAUAAUAGUAUCAGACAUACCUCAAUAGCAGGCAAAUAAGCUGUGUUUUAACAAAUUUUUUUACCAGUAAAAUAACUUUGUAUAUAUGUUUAAAUUAUCUUUUGCUUUGCAGUAGAGAAGCUGUUCGAGAAACCCAAACAUGCUUAAAAGCAAACUGCAUGCCGUGGGGAAGUGGAAAUAGCAUCCCCAUGGGAUCGUCCAAUUCCCAUAUCCUUUCCUUUCCCUGACCAAAUUUACAUGCCCAGGUUUUUUUCUCCAAAAACUGGAGAAUCUGAUUCCUUCUUGUUUUCUCCCUUCUCAUAUUCCUUUCCCCCACCUCUCAAAUUUCAAUCCCUUUACAUAUAUAUAUACACCUAAGAGGCACGGAAAAAUUAAAAAGGAAAGCAAAAGAGAAGCAUCUUUUUAUUUGCUAUCAUUCAAACAUUCGCGGCGAAAGCGCGAUGGGAUGUCGAGCUUAUUGUAGUCUAGUUCUGCUUGGUCUCGCGGUGGGGGUUCUGCUGUCGACGGCGCAGGCGCAGGCGCAGGCGCAGGCGCAGGCGCAGGCGAUGGGGAUAAACUGGGGGACGCGGGCGACGCACCCAUUGCCGCCAGAUAUCACGGUGCGGCUGCUGCAAGACAACGGGUUCGCGAAGGUGAAGCUGUUCGAGGCCGACGACCUGGCGCUGCGCGCGCUCGGCAGGUCUGGAAUUCAAGUCAUGCUCGGCAUCCCCAACGAGUACCUCGUGCCGCUUGCCAGUAGCGUCCGCGUCGCCGAGCAGUGGGUCAUGCAGAACGUCUCCUACUACAUCUCUAAGUUCGGCGUCGACAUCAGGUCAGUAGUAAAGUGCUACACUUCAUUCAACCAAAUAAGAUAUACAUAAUUAUAUAUUAGUUAUGUAAACUUAUCUAUUUUUGACAAAAUGCAAGUUAUGUCCAAUCAAGUCAUUCAAAUUUUCUUUUAAAGCGCGGGGCCUACGUAUAGAUGAAUAUAUAAUAAUGAAUAUAUAAUAAUAAAAUUCAAACUUUUGAUGUUACAUGAUUUUUCCAUCAAAUAAUAAGAUUUUAAAAUAAUGCAUACAUAAGGGCCCAUCUUAAGUCCCUUCAAUUUGUGGCCUUAACCUAUUUUAUUAUUUUGGAUAGUCGAAUUGUUUAUUAUUUUUUUAUACUUAAAAAAGUCCCUCUUUUUUUUUUCAAAAGUUAAAACAAAAAGUUUCCAUUUCCCAGAAAGUUGUUCCAGAUCACAAAGGGGAAAGCAUGCUAACCCACUGAAAAUAUGCAUGCAUGUGCGGUGCAUUACAAACAAACUUUUUUUUUUUUUCUUUUUUUUUAAUACCGACUGUUUCUAGAGCAAGUGAUAAAAGAUUUUAUGGUUGAUAUUCGAGGUCCUAAAUUCAAAUCCUUAUUGAUUCACAUUUCUAACUAAGUUUAUCUCUUUUGACAUUACAAUACAUGACUAAUUUUGUAUGGAAAUGUCAUUUACUUAGACAUUACGGCAUGUAACAUCUUUUGUGGUAGCUCGCAACCUAAAGAUUAAUAGAAAAAUUGAGAUGUUAUAAUUUAAGAAAACAGAGGCUCAGUUUUGUCUGUGUAUGUUAUGUAAGGUACGUAGCCGUGGGCAACGAGCCGUUUCUGAAGACGUACAAGAGUCUCUACCAGCAAACAACUUUUCCGGCCCUGCAGAACAUCCAGGCCGCGCUGAUUAAAGCAGGUCUAGGGCGGCAGGUGCACGCGACCGUCCCGCUGAACGCCGACGUCUAUGAGACGUCGACCGGGGUGCCCUCGGGGGGCGACUUCCGGGCCGACAUCCGCGACCUGAUGAUCAGCAUCGUCGGAUUCCUGCAGAACAACGGCGCCCCGGUCGCCAUCAACAUCUACCCGUUCCUGAGCCUCUACGCCGACCCGCACUUCCCCAUCGACUACGCCUUCUUCGGCGGGGGCGCGGCGCCGGUGGUCGACGGGAGUGUGACCUACACCAACGUGUUUGAGGCAAACUAUGACACGUUGAUAUGGGCUCUGGAGAAGAACGGGUUCGGGUCCAUGAACGUUAUUGUGGGGGAGAUUGGGUGGCCUACGGAUGGGGACCCGAAUGCCAAUUUGGAGUAUGCUGGCAGGUUCAACCAGGGCCUCAUCGACCGGAUCACACGAGGUGAGCAUUGGUGUUUUCGGCUCUCAAAAAAUUCAAAAUCAAACGCACAAGGCGCUCUUAUCGUCCAUCUUAGGCCGCUCAAUUGAGCUUUAACGGUCAAAUAUUUUGAUUCAACUUUCGAUCAUUGCGCAAGUUUCGAUUUUUUUUUUUCUAUUUAUCAAAUACUCUGCUGGAGAUAACGAAUUUAGUGGGGCGCUGAACAUUUACUGAGUGGUUUUUUGUCACUCCAGGCAUGGGCACGCCGAAGCGGCCGACGCCGCCGGAGAUCUACAUCUUCGCGCUGAUCGACGAGGACGCAAAGAGCAUCCAGCCGGGCAACUUUGAGCGGCACUGGGGCCUCUUGUACUACGACGGCACGGUCAAGUACCCGCUUACGUUGGAAAAUGGCCAGAACUUAACCGGCGCAGUGGGCGUAAAGUACUUGGACCGGCAGUGGUGCGUCCUGGCGCCGGAGGCCAGCAUUGCAGACCCUAACAUCCCAGGAGCCGUCGACUACGCAUGCCAGUACAGCGACUGCACCAGCCUCAGCUACGGCUCGUCGUGCAGCGGGCUCGACGCGCGGAGCAACGUAUCGUACGCGUUCAACCAGUUCUACCAGACAGCGAACCAGCAGAAGGGGGCCUGCAUGUUUUCGAACCUGUCAGUGAUCACGCAGACCGAUCCGUCGCAAGGGACCUGCAGGUUUGAGAUCAUGAUCGACACGGGGAGGCACGAGCUGACUUCGAACACCGACAGGGCCGUCGCGAGGGCGUCGGCCGUGGUUGGGAUUUGGAGUGUGCUAGCAGCAGUCGGUUUGGCGGCGAUAAACCUAUAAAACAGUGCAUCUGAACAUCUCAUGCAUCUCAUCUUCGGAAAAGAUAGAAGUUUAAGAUGGAAUGGAUGUUUAUACACCAGAUGCGCACAACAGUUUCCCAAAGAAAGUAGGGUGCAUUCUAAAAAACAAACUUUUACGCACGAAAAAGAUUGAACUUAGGAUUAAAAAUUAAGAUGAGAUGAAAAGAACGCGGCAGACAAAAUCUCAGUCCAUAGCAUCUCCUUGUAGGGCAAGAGGCCCCUUGUGGAAGGGAGCAGAGAUUGUUGAGAUAUGCUCUUAUCUCAGGAAACUAUUGCCCAGGAGAUGCCUGAAAUUAAUCCACUCUGAAAUUACUUGCAAUUUAGAUUUAAGAUAAGAGUGAUUCUUUUAAACUCUUACAUUCUGAUUCAUUAAGUAAUUAUGUAUUUGAUUAGAAUAAGCCAACUAACAGUUGGCAUUUUCUUCGGUUAGAGUUUCACAACACUCUUCCAGUACAUAGUAUUACACUGUAAAACAAAUUGAUUCAUGAUAUAUUUUGUGCAUAUUGCUUACUUUAUCCAGUUCUCUGUUUAAUUUAUCUUUAUCCACCACAACUUCUCUAUGCAAUGAAUUAGUUUUAGCAACUGGUCAAAUUACUCUCAAAAAAAAAAAAAAAAAAAAAAAAAAAAACACAGCAACAACUAUAAUAGAAACUCUAGAUGAGUCACCUUGUUAUUUUGAGUGUUACUGUUACCUCUCACUGGAUCAACAAAAUUUGCUCAAAUAACAUUUAUACAAAAUAGGCUAUAGGUUAUCACCACGCCAAAGUAUGCAAAGUUGCAAGGAAAAGGAAAAAAAUAAUGGAAUUAUGAUACUUAUGAUACAGCCGUAAUCGCAAGCAUAACACCCGCAAAAUAUGUACUAAGGAAACAAUAUAUAUAUAUAUAUAUAUAUAAUCACCCGAUUAAACGAGGAGAAGCUAACCGACAAAUACACAGCUUAGAACGUAUAGUCUGGCGUAUCGGUCUCAUCCGAUCGCCAGGGAGAGCCUUGCCCAUCUCCUCCGACCAUCCGCUUACUCAUGUUGGCCCUUUGCACCAGGCGAACUAAUGCUUGCACGACUUCCGACAUGGGCGGCCUAAAUUCUGGCUCGGGCUGCCGUAAUAAAUGUCGGGGUUAUGAAGUUGAAUUUACGUUUUUUUUCAUCUCUUUUGUACGAUGGUGAAUCUAGACUGAACUCUUAUUGUGUUUCCAAACUAUGAAACUGAAAGUAUUAUAAGUUCAGAUGUGCAACAUACCUGAACACACAGAGCAAUAACAUCUGCGAACCUAGAGAGAGAUUUCGCCGGGUAUAACCCCUGAAGGGCCGGAUCAACCAUCCGGUCUAAAGCAUCGAUGUCGUGCAGCUGGGGAGUAGCCCACCGAACCAACGACUGCUCAGAUCGCGGUCUAGAGCUGCCGCAGUUUGUCAGAACAGACAGCAUUUCAGUAGAUCGAAUUUUAGGUCGAGGAAAUUACAGAUCAAAUUUGAAUUAACUUUUAUAAUCUUAAUUUUCAUGAUCUAGAAGAGUGCUGAAAUGAAGAAUCACCCGUCGAAAGGCUUCCGCCCAGUCAAGAGCUCCAGCAUGACCACUCCGAAGCUGUAAAUGUCGCUCUUGAGACUAUACUGGCCGGACAUGGAAACCUCCGGAGCAGUGUAUCCGGAGUUCUCAUCUGAUGCCUAUAGAAGUCAUUUUUCAAGUAUGUUAGAUCUACCUUUUUCAAUUUUGGUAUGGAGUAAAAAUACAUUAGGUUGCAUCUUCAUACCUGGAAUUCUGGGUUUGGAACAAGGCUCGCAAGCCCAGAAUCUGAAACGUGAGGGUUGAGCUCCAUGUCCAAUAAAAUGUUUGAUGACUUGAAAUGUUUAUGGAUGAUAGACGGCGAGCAUACUUCAUGCAGAUACCUGGAAAUAAAAUUUGUACAGACAAAAUGAUCAAGGUAUUAUUCAACGUCAAUAGGCCCACAAAUUUGACUACAAAGAGAAUAGGCAUCAUCUUGUAUAGAUUAAACGAAAACUAUAGCGAAGGGGGAAAAAGAAAGAAGAAGAGAUAACAAGUUGCCCUCGAUUAUUGGAAACACCACUAUCCUUUAGCAGUUCAUAUAAAAGAAAUAUUGCAUUGCACUAUUUCUCAGUUAUCUACUACAAAACAAAAUUACCGAGUGGCUGCUCGGCACGGAUGAAGCAAAGCUGCGGCAAAAGACAGAAGCUUCAAAUGAUAUUUGGAGCUAAGAAGCUCAUUCAACUCUCUACCACAGUAAAAUAUAUAGAUUUCUUGUUUGCCAAGAGUCUAAUUACUGCUUUGAAAAGUAGAAUAACUACUCCAAAAGCUAGGCCAAACAUGCACAGAUCUCCAAAGAAUAAUUAAAAAUAAAAUAAAAAUGAUAUUCUGUCUAUUUGACUUACUCUAGCGCCCGUGCAGAGCCCAGUGCGAUCUUGACGCGCUGAUUCCAUGACAGUGGCUUGUUGUAGUCAUCGGGGAGGCGAAGGAAAUCAUGCAGUGAGCCGUUUCCGUGGAACUCAUAGACCAGCAAGUGCUGCCCGUGUUCAUUACAGUAGCCAACCAGCUCGGAUAGAUUCAGAUGAUGCAAGCAUGAGAUGUUUGAGACCAACUCAAUGAAGUCGCCAGAUGACAAAUUGGGAAGAGCAUUAAAGUUUAUUUUCUUCACAGCCAGAACCUAUAACAAAUAGACAAAUUUAGAGUUUGCUCUGUUCAAUGUUUGUCAAUGAAUGAAGAUUGGAUAGUGAAAAGAGCCACGCUUAAUUAAAAAUAUCAUGCAUUUAAACUAUCUAACUGAAAGAUAAAAAAUUUACUUCAACUGCGAAAUAUGAAUGAUAAUUUGCUUUUUUCAGACGUAGAAAUAUUGAAACAUUAUCCCUUUUCUUACAUUCAACAAAGUCGUGCUCUUUACGCACGGAGAAUGAACCUCCUGUAAUAUGCUAUUUACGACAAAGCGACCAAGAUCAAAGUAUCGUUGGUUCGACAAAGAAAAGAAUACUAAUUUUUAAGCACUAGAUACUAACUAAACUUCUUUAGAUACUGGAACAGCAGGGAGGAGAUUAAUUCCAAGACCAAUAGAGAAGCAAACCUUUUCAUCGUCAAAUUCAGCUCUAUAAACACGCCCAAAGGACCCUUCUCCAACAAGAUUGUCCACGCUGAAGCUGUUGGUUGCCAUUUGCAAAUCAGCUAUGGAAUACACCGUUGCUUUUAUGGGAGCCAAAUCAGUUUUCUUUGCAACAGGCUUGUUUGAGGUGUCAUUUUCAUCAAAUGACUUGUGGAUUUUAGGAGGAGGUUUAAGGCUGAUCGGAGCAGCUGGAGGCAAUGCUGAAUUGUCGAGUAUGGAAACGGUCUGCGUCAAUUUCAUCUCUGCAGCAUAACAGUAACACGAAAGUGAUAAAUAACGUAUAUUGAAUCUAUACAACUAAGAAUAGCAAGCAAAAUGUUAGAAAGGUGGGAAAAUGGUGCAUUAUUAGUGCAAAUGUGAAGAAAGAAAAUCACACGACUCUUCAGAAGUGGGAGUACGAGUUUCUGCAUCGGCGUAAAAUUACCUUUUUCUCCAUUUGAAGCAAAAGGCGCAAAAGGGGCAAAAGGCUGUUUCUGCUCGGGAUUCUGUUCCCCUUUCCAACUUUUCUUCUUAACCAAGAAGAACGCAACUAUUCCACCUACGGCCAAUACGGAUAUGAUAAUUCCAGCUAUGCCCCCACCACCUAUACCAGAACUUCCACCACCACCACUUCCCCCGCCGCUUGAUGGGUUGUUACCACUAUUGGAGUUCUGACCCGGGUUUACUUUUCGACCCGGCGGAGGAGGCGUAUAUGGUGGAGGUGGAGGCGCAGGGCCAGAGCUCCAGGAAUUACCACCGGUCCUAUGAAAGAGAAUUAUACAUAUGAGAUGUAAAUAACUAAUAGUAUGCAUGAUCUUAUCAAAAUGGGUAAAUUGCACCAUGGUCCACUGGUCACUAGUUAAACUUAUCAAAGUUCCAUUUAGGUCGCUAAACUCCAAUUUGUUGCUGUUGAGUCACUGAACUUUCAAUUUCUUGAAGAUGAUGAUGAAUCAGUUGCCACGUGAUUGUUAGGGAAAUUAAAUGAAACGUCAUAAUAUGUGGCCAAUUGUGUAGUGUGUUCUAAAAUCAAAGGACUACUCACUGAAGGUUAUUAAUCUUUUGAAGCCGAUCAGGAAUCCAGCCGGUAAAGCGGUUACUUUCAACAUUCCUGCAGGCACGAGGAGACAAAUCAUUUUUACAACACAAAUAGAGUUUCUUUUCCCUUUUGUUAAAAAAUAAAUAGAAACUUACAAAUCUUCAAGGGGAAGAGCAGCAAGGACAUCUAUGGUGCCAGUAAAUUGGUUGUUCUGCACAUAACUGAUGUAGAGAUAUCGAAGGAGUCAAUAUAUUUAUACAUAAACAUAAAUCACUCUUGUGCAUAAUAUCAAUUAUAGACAGCUUAGGGUCGUCCUUACAGAGUAUUCAAACUCGUCAAGGAGCUGAAGCUUUGAGGGAGGUCACCGGUGAGAGAAUUAAAGGAGAGGUCCCUGCAGCAUGAAUUCGUAAUUUUAAAAACAUUAAACAGAAAGGCCCGAUAUGAUGCAAGAGACUGAAAAUUAGCAUUUCGGUAUGUAGACAUUAAUUCUUCAGUGAAAGAAUAUCUCAAGUAAUUCAAUCACCUAGUUUACUAACAAGGAAAUUAUAACAAGGAAAUCGCCCGAGUUUCCAUUUAAGGUAACUAACCAUCCGUAUAGAUCACGAAAAAGCACAUGCUUUUGUAGUCGAACUAAUAAAUGAGAUCGAUCAGAAGAACACUCACAUAGUGGUCAAAUUGGUAAGUUUGUAGAAUAUAUCGGUGAGAUUUCCCUGGAGUUGAUUAUGACCAAGAAUUCUACAUUCAAAACACUCAAGUUAUGUAAUAAACUAUCGAAAGAAAGGGCAAGAGAUAGCAAAAUUGACUUCAUUAAGAAGUCCACUUACAGAUAUUUGAGAGUAACCAUAUAAGAAAUUGAGUAAGGUAGAUUUCCGUUAAAUUGGUUCCCAGCAAGAUUACUGCAGAUAAAAUUCAUCAUAUAAUAUUCACUAUCAAAAAUUUAAAAAAAGAAAAAGAAAAAAGAGUUGAAACCAGAAAAAUCGGCAUAACUUACAAUCUCUCGAGAUUAGGAGGAAGAUUAUAAGGUAUCUGUUGACCACCGCCAAGAUUGUUGUUGCUUAAAUCACUGCGUCAAAAUCAAGAGAUUAAAACCAAUUCUCCAUUAAGUCCCGAAAGUUUGACCCAGAUUCCAAUCAAGUUGUCACGUUUUCACAGUUCAAUCCCGAAAAAGGCACAGGGUCAACAUCCCGAAAGUUUUACGCAGAACAAACUGCAGGGACUGAGUUAUCGAAAUUGAAACUCUGAGAACGUAACUAAAGAAAGACGAGAUCAAACAUAACGGCAUAAAAUGAAACCGAUCAUAAAGCAAAAUUACAAAACAAGAAAGAUCAAACUCACAGCUCAGUGAGCGAAGCCAUGUUAUUCAAAUUGUAGCCUAAAUUCCCGGUAAGUCCCAUUCCAGAUAAUUUACUGGUAGAGUUAUAACAGCAAACAACAAGCAGAAAAAAAAAAAAAAAACAAUCAGAUGGAAUUGAUUCAACUGCAAAUAAGUUACACCGCAAAGCUAGGCUCACAUUGAUUUAACCGAAGAACCGGCGCAGGUAACGCCGAGCCAUGCCUGUCCGCAGGGAUCGCCGCUGUUUGCGGAGGACCAACCCGUAAGCUGUGAGGGUGAAUUGAAGCUUGUGUACAAUACAUUGAGAGCAGAAACUGCAUGCAAAGAAUAAAAAUGGAGAAAAACUCAUUACCAUUGAUUGGGUAGAGUAAAUGAUUGGGCAUCACUUUUUUCCAACUAAUAAAGAAUAUCUAAUGUUUUCAACACAAUUUUGGGUCCAUGAAGAUGGAUUUGUGUCUCUUUUCUUCUUCAUCUGUCAUAGAAAACUAAAAUCAUGAAGAGAAGUUCAUUCCAAUAUUAAGUCUCGAACAGUGUACUUCCUCUUUUUCCUUAAAAAGAUAUGAGCUUUUUCAAGUCCAACAAAAUUCACUUCUACAAUCCAAACAAUUAUUUGCCAAAAAUAGAAAAUGUUCAUUGGAAUACUUGUUAUGAAUUGAAUUAAAACAUCUAAAUUACGAGCGCAACCAAGAAAAAAAAUGAUUUUUAUGCCUAAAAACAAGACAACCCACUUGCUCACCUUCAAAUAGUGAGCUUCAAAACCCCAAAAAGAUAGAAUCAUAAAAAAAAAAAAGGAAAAAAAAAGGAGAAAAGCACAAAGAUACCAAUCAAACAACAACUUUUCUUCUUUGACAGGGGAAAAAAAAGAAAAAAAGAGAGUGAGGGAUUCAACAACGUCAAUACAGAACAUUCCUCUGAAUGCCCCAUGCCCACUCCCUAACUUUCCUACUACAAUCUAGUAAGAGGAAAAUUUAAAAAAAAAAAAGAAAAAGGCCCAAAAAUUAGAAAAAGCUCACGCACCAUCAUUUUGGUCAGUGUUUCCAAAAACAAAGCUUUGAUUCAACACCAAAAUGCAUGCCAAAAUUAGAGCUUUAAUCCCACCCAUCUCUCUCUCUCUCUUUCUCUUCUUUCUCUUUCUCUCUCCUCCUCUUCACCACCCUCUCAUCUUCCCAACCAACGGCCUUCGCCUCUUUCUCUCUCCCUCUCCCUCUCUGUCUGUCUCUCCUCUAAACUGAAUAAAAAAGAAGAAAAAGCUCUGUUUUUUCCUGCUCUCUAGCUUUUAUAUUUCCCCCUACUUUUUUUUUUUGCAUUUUUUUAAGUUGGAAUCUGCAUAAAAAAGCAAGCUGGCACAAGAACCGAGAUGAAUAAUCCAAAAGCGCGGUGGUAAAUUUAAAUUUUCGACGAAUUAUUCGGAUUUUUUUUCUUGUUUUUUCUCUCUUUUUUCGUUUUCGAGGACGAUUAAAAGAGAGCUUUUUUAUUUCACUGAGAGUGAGAGGUGACGUUAAUUGAAAAGGAAAUGGGCGGUAAUGUUACCGGAGGUGACGAGAACUCGUAGGACAGUUGUGGGGCCCACGUGGAACGUUGAACUAGAUUGGGCCAUGGGAUUGUGGGCCCACGGUAUCGGUGUUUUUUUUUUUUUUUUUUUUUUUUUUUCUUUUUUUUUUUUUAUAUAGUGCUCCUAUAAAAUAAAUAAAUAAAUAACCACAUUGUACCAUAGUUACACAGUAAAAUCCAUCACUUUGUGUCUAUUUUUUCUCUUAAAUUUUUUGGGUUAGGAAGCGUUUGGUUAGGUAUAAAAUAAAUCAAAAAAAUAUUUUCGAUAUAAAAAUAUUUUUUUAUUUAUUUUGUUCGACGUAAAAAUAUUUAUCUAUAAGAUUUUUUUUUAUGAAUUUGAAAAAAAAAUAAAAUUUUCUUUUUUUGCUAUUUUCCGGUAAAAAAUUAAAACUCAAACUGUGUAAAAAAAUUCUCAUUCAUAUUUUUAUCUAACCAAACAAUGUGAUUUUUUUUCCAUUCAAUCAAAGAAAUGUUGACGUAAAAUUAUUUUUUUUUCUUACAAACAAAAUACUAGAAAAUAUAACACUUUUUUCUACUGAAAAAUUAUUUUUCACGAUUUUAUUUUGAACAUGUUAAAUAUAAAAAUAUUUAAACACUGCUCUCUACGAAAUUAAGCUUUUAGAAUAUAAUAUGUGUUUUGUAUAAUUUAAUAUGAUAUCAGAGGAAAAAGUCCUAAAUUCGAGUUACGCCAGACUUCUAUCAUUUUAAUAUUCUCUUAUUUAAUUCAAAUUCACGUCAUAAGCAUUGUAAAAAGUCUCAAAUCUAAAUAUAAGAGGGAAUAUUAAAUAUAAAAUAGUUCAAUACCGUUCUUUAUGAACUUAAUUUUUUAAAGUACAAUAAUUAUUUCAUAUUAUUUUUCAGAACCAAACGUACCCUUAAUUGCUCUAUUUUUUUCUAAACCUUAUCUCUAUAUUUCGAAUCUCCUUUUUUUCCUACUAGAUCUUUAAUUUUUAUAGUUAAAUUUUGUUUGAUUUCGAUUAAAUAAUUUUAAUAAAAUAAAUCACAUCAAUUGUAAUACAAUAUUUUUUAUUCAGAUAGACCGUAAUGAUUAUUUCGGCAUCGAUCUUUUCAAGUGUUUAACAAUAUUUUCAAUUACCGAUUAUUCCUAACGCAAGUGGCAAAAAACUUAAUGAUUGGUAUCUGAGGUCCUAAGUUCGAAUUCUAAUUGAUUCAUAUUUCUAACUAAGUUUAUUUUUAAAUAAAAUAAAUAAAGCAGAUAAUAUACUGCCUAUCUCUCUCGAAAAAAAAAAAAAAAAAAAAAAGAAAAAAAAAAGACAAUGUAUCCAGUUUAAACAUAAAAAACACCAAAUUUUUCAAAAAAAAAAACAAAAAACAAAUAUUGCAAUUAACUUUUUUCUUUCACAAACAAAAUAACACCUCAGUUUGGUUGGUAGGGUGGGUGGGUCCCCUACUUGAUGGGAGGUAAAGAAAUUUUGUUUUUUUAUGGUUUAUUUUCUUUUGCUGAUUCCGAGAGCCCAAUAAAUUCGCUGAAUCCAUUACUAUUGUCGGAUGAGAAAGAAUCCAAAUAGUUAAUUAUUUUAAAAAUAUGUGCCGAUUAUAUUUAAGGACCAUAAUUUUCAUAAAUUUCGAUCUGACUCAAUUGAUCUGAAUAUUAGACAUAUAAUUUGAUCUACCACUCAACUUAUUAGACAUAUUUUAAUCUAAUAAUAAAUAGCUAACACCAAGCAACAAUAUUUAUAGCAAACUUCGGUUAUAUCUUUUAAAAACAAAUAUAGUUAAAAGAAUCAAAUACUUAUUCUUUAAAUUUAAAAUUUAAAAUUAUUAAUUAUUAAAUUUUUAGUUAAUUACGUUUCCGUACAGUACACGAUGUUAUUAUUAUUAUUAUGGGUACUGGUCGGUAAGGGGAAUAAAACUUUUUUAGAAAAAAAAAAAUACGUGCACGGUGGGAGCGACCGCACGGACGUAUCAAAACAUUCCGUCGAGUGUGAGAUCAACCGUUCAUUUUUUAUGCGGACACCUGUGUGGACAGAUGGACGGAGGGAUGUUUUUUGCUUUUUUAUUGUUCCUGUGCCGGACUUUACGGCCUAAUUUAGCUUUUUUUAAAAAGGGGUUAGCAGAGCCCCAAUCAAGCUACAAAAAUGAUUAGAGUGGUGGGUCAUCACAAUAAUUUGCUUUUCCUCUCUCUCUCUCUCUCUCUCUCUCUCUCUCUCUCUAUAACAAUUUACAAUUUUAGUUCUAGGGUUCCAAAUCUAUGCAAAUCGAUCACUAGAGCUCCAAUAGUAUACGAAUCGAUCAAAAUCAUGAGUUUACCGACUGUCCCUACUGUUUCAAUGAUACACAAAUCGACCGGACUCGUAAGUUUAUCGGCGAUUCCAAGAGUAAGAGGCACAACAAUUAAUGAUUGGUAUUGUAAGUUCGAAUUCUAAUUAUUUCAUAUUUUUAACUAAAUUUAUUUCUAAAAAAAUAAAUGAAGCCAGUAAAAUACUAUCUUUCUUUUUUAAAAAAAAAAGUUUAUGAGAUUGGCUAAGAACUUGAGAGUCGGUACCGAAUAUUCUAAAUUUAGCUGGAAAUGUAAAUCAAUUAGGAUUCGAACUUGAAAUUUUGGAUACUAAUCACUAAACCCUUUGUCACUUAUGUUAGUGACGAUCGGUUCGAAAUCUAGUUAUUUGUUUUGUAUUUUUAGGUCAAUUUAUUUUAAAAAAUAAACAAAACAGAUAAUGGUGUGUAAUAUUUCUCGCAUGAAAAAAAAGUCAUGAACUAAUGAGCUCAAGCCCUAUUUUUUUUGCCUACUCAAGAGUGAUCCAAUUCUCUCAACCUUAGAGCUCUCCUUAAUUUUGCAAUGCACAAGCAAAGAAUCUAGGCCUUGACAUUAAGGAUAGCUUCCUAAACAACAUUUGUUUGUAUAGCAUACAUGUUUUUUUUUUAUUUUUGCUAUUCUGCCAAUAACAAUAUUACUCGUUAUCGUUACAGUAUUAUAAAGAUUAAUUAUCGUAUUUUAUGAAUAAAAAUUUAUUAUCACCCUAUAUUUAACUCUCUCUUUUUCUUUCCUAUUGCUAUCCCAAUAAUUGGCAUAAAAUUACGAUUUAGUUAUCAUAAAAUUUUUAUCAAAUAAUUUAUUAGUGCGUCUUUUGCUGAGGUGGAUUCGCAAUAGGGGACUUUGAGGGAAAAAUUCUCUGUUGCAAUUCUUUUCACAUAAAAUAUAUAGUAAUACCCACACUCGGCCAUAUAUAUAUUUUCAUAUUAUUAAGCAAAAAGAAAAAAAACUAAUUUUCUGAAGAAAUUAUUAUCUUAUCUUAAGACAAAAUUAGUGCAUUAAUUAAAAUGUGCUCGGCCCCACAUGUCGGACUCAGUGGCGCGAGGUGCUUUCCUCUCCGUUCUACGAAAGAGUUAAGACGUGGCGGGCAUUCUCGCCGUCGGGUGGGCCCCGCAUUGCCGCGUGCCACGUCAUGAGACAGCUGGCGACGGAGGCUGUGCCACUUGGCACGAGUUACCAUCAGUCCGUACGGCCCGUCGGUAGGGAUGCAAUUGGAUGCGGGUUGGUGGAUUCCGUUUCGAUCCGUUUGCAAAUGUACCGGUAAGUAAGAAUAAGAAAUAUAAAAAUAUAUAAUUUAUUCUGAAUUCAUUUCCAUCAACAAAGUAAAAAGAGUGAGAGAUGGAUGAUUUUUUUUUUUUUUGAAAUUCAUUCUAAUUCAUUAAAAAUUUGUCAAAAUUUUGUUUUAGUUUCGAUCCGCUUCGAAUAGGACAGUAAGUAAAAGCUAAAAAUAAAAUAAAAAAUAAUCCGCUCUGAAUCCGUGCUGUCCCAACAAAAAAUAAAGGGAAAGAGGAGAAAAUUCUGACUUCGAAUCAGUUCUGUUUGUUUUCUUACUCGUCGGCAAGCCAAAAAAAAAUAUAUAUAUGUAUAAAUUAGGCAAAUCUCAACUAAUCAUAUUUUUUUAAAAAAAAGUUUUAUUUUAUUUCUAAAAAUUAGUUUAAUUAUAUUUUUUUUACUAAAAAAAAUUAUUUAGUUGAGAAAAUAUAAGUGAAGUGAUGCGUCUAGGUAAUCGAAGACUUCUUCGCCUGCGACGUGACCCCCAUCGUAUAACCAAACAAUUACCUACACCCUGUAUAUCCGUACUAGCUAUGCACCACAAUAAAUUUUUUUAUGAUCCGUACAAUAAAAAAAUCCAACCGAAGCUAUGUAUACUAUCUCAAGUACUUAUUAUUAUAUAUAUUAUAUAUGUAAAGUUUUAAAAUUUAAAAAAUUAUUACUAGAAUAUUAACUAAGUAUAAUAACGAUAUUAUAAAAAAAGAUCUAUUAUAUAUAAGCUUUUUGAAUAUCAUAAGCAAUAUUAAGGUAAAUAUCAUAUAUUUCAAAAUGUAUAUACACCGAAUGCAAACAAAUUAAUAAAUUACUUCUGAUCCGUAUAUCUAAGACUUUAAAAAGAACAGCCUACUACCUAAUAUAUGGACUAGUCAAUCACCUCCAUCCGAUAUACACACUUUGGCAUGUACAGAGCGAAAAAUUCUACACUAUCACACUUACAUCACGUCAUUAAUAACAAGCCAAUCAUAUUUCUUCUUUUCAAAUAAAAAUACAAUAAAAAUACCUUUUAUAAUUAUGAUAGAAAAUAUAUUCCUUAAAGGAGAUUUUUGAUUGAUUUAUUACGCCACAUCUCCAAUACAUCCAUUACAUUUUAAAAUUUUUCGUACUGAGCGCAUUGUUAAAAUUUGAACGGAGAUGAAGCAACCGGUCCGUAGACGAUGUGGUGAACCGUGUCCAGGCAAUCUCCUCUGAAACGGGGGUGGUGAUCAAUAAUGACCUUACCCGAGCACUCAAUCACUCGGGAGGAGUUAGGUAAAUUUUAGCUUCUUUUUUUUUUUUCUACUUUUGUUUCCUUUUCUUUUUGGAAGGAGAGGUGUUGGUUCCAUUACUAACUUAUUUUUAAGAAGUUUCAAACAAUUUUUCACAACUUACAGAUUUUAUUUCUAGACUAUUUCUCUCCAACCAUUUUUUUUUGUAAGUUCUGUAGUAUUGCAACUGAUCCUAACUUAUAGCAAGUUCGAUUUUCUUCAUUUGAUAUAAUAGUAAUUUUUUGUAUCCUACUUUUCUUAGUCAAACAUAUGAAAUAACAUAUAUGUUAGCUCUACCUAAAUUAAUCUUUUUAGGCAAUAGAGAGAGAGAGCUAGAAGGAAAAUUAAUCUAAAUAUACUAUUUAUUUAUUGAAAAAGGGGUUAAAAAAAACAGUGAGAGGUCCCAAAGCAUUCAAAGGAUUUCCCUUUUUAAAUUUGCAAUGCAACCCUACUAUUUGUUGAUUAGAUAUAAUAAUAAACAUGUAACACCUACGCUCUCUUUUUUCACAUUAUUGGAGUGCAUGAUGUGUGCUUUUGCUUCAUUAGUUUACGUCAAAACGACAUUGCUCGCGCAUUUAUUAACAAAACCCGACCUUCCGUCGCCAGCACGUCACAAGAUCCCAGAUGUGUAACAUGUGUUACACAAAUAUAAAGUAGAAAAUUAUAAUAAGUAAAAUAAAAGGCCUUGAGAAUAACACUUACUAUUAUACAAACAAUCAAAAUGGUACAAAUAGGUUACCGCACCUCCAAAAACUUAUAACAGAGAUUUAAAAAUCAAAAUCUGACUCUUGGAUAUACUUAAUGAUAUUUAAAAAAGCCUACUUAUGAUAAAAACAAAAAUAUUGAAUGACAAUACCUUGUAAAUUAAACAUCAAUCAUUUCUUUACGAUUAGUUUUUGGGAUAACUUGAUGCAGUGAUGGAUUUACAAAACUUAAAUUUUUUUAAUAUACAGGCUCUGUAGACAUGACAUAUUACAUCAAUUUGAUUAGAUUAUAAUUUUAAAAUAAUUAUCGUCUGAAAAUUAGAAGCAGUGUAUGAGGCGUAUGGAUAAACUGCAUACAUGUAACAAUUUCUGGAAACAAGAUUCUGAACAGUAAAUAAUUUCUCGUGAAAAAUAGUUGAAAACUACGUGACAUAAUGAAUGAGAUUAGGAGAAAAAUUAAUGGGUUUGAGGACACCCUCUCUAUAGUUUCACAUCUCAAUCAACUGAUCCAUCUCUGUGGACUCAGCACUAUGAUUAGAUUAAUGAAUGUGGGGUGCCAACAAGCAAGCGUGUACCUUCGUUAGAAGUUACAGCAACAAUUUGAAACCACCAGAACGAUUGGAUACAUGACGUAUAACCAACUUGACUAACUAGUUUAAGUUAGGUAUCUAACUAAUUGUUCACGUAUUCCUAACAAUGGCUAAUCAAUGAGUUUAAUCUACAAAUAGUGCAAAUAAAAAAAAAAUGAAAACAACAAUAACAUAUAUAACAAACAGGUAGGAAUGUUGUAUUAUUAUGAACAUAAACAAGAAUAAAAUGAAACGUAAGAGUGAUACCAAAUUUUGGUGGGUAAGAGAUUUCCUAAUAGAAAUAUAAGGUGGGUACUUCACAUUAUUUCAAUUUGUUGACGAACCUCGCACAAAAAGUUUGUUCAUUCAACGAAUCAGAUGUAUAGCCCUAAUCAGAGUGGACGUCGUUACCUAAAAGAUAGAUUUUAUAUGCAAUAAACAGGGAAUACUCUAAACUACCCAGGCCACUGACAUGUUGGAGAUCAACCCUAAGAAGGGAACUCUGAGAAUUUACAACUAAUUCUAAUACCAACUUAGAAAAUUGAUCUUAUAAAAAAUGAUCCAAAAUAUUUUUACCAGAUAUAUAGAACGAGGCCAAAAGAGAAACAUUCUACUCUUCAGCUGCAUAGACUAAAUGCCGUCGGCAAAAUUAAAAAAAAUAAUAAUAAAACCAUAAGCUUAAGAGUACAAAACGAUAAUGAUACAGGCAAUAAGAUCAUUUAUGGCAAAUUUUCUUGUUCCCCAGCCUACUGGUGGCUGAGAAGGUUGGUUUCACAACUACUUUUAAGAGAAUCUGCUCCCUUUUAUUGUAUAAUAAAAUAAAAUGUGACAAGCCACUAAGAAAAGGACACUGUUUCUACUGUUUGCUGUUCGUCCACAUAAAAGCAUCCUUUUUCACCAUUAUUCUGCUGGUGCGCCAAAUUACCUCUUAACAACUAUCAAAGAUAGAGUUAGGUAAACAAUCAAGCAAGGGGCUCUAGAAACUACUCCUUGAAUUUGAAGUAAUUGACUCAAACAUUCUGAACCCUUUUGAUCUAACAAAACUCGUUCCGUUUCUUUGGAAAGUUGCUCAAAUAAUUGACAACUAAAAGCUGCUUGAGAAUCAAUACUGUCACGAUUUGACUUGUUAGUAUUAAUUACUCAUUGAACCUAAACCACGGACGCCCACUAGCACUAAUAAUUUGUUGAACCCUAAACCACCGACCCAAAAUACUUAACUCAGUAAUUAUUAUUAGAGUAAGCCCAACUAUUAUUACUAGAACUCUGAUCCCUUAUAUUGUCAAUCAUAAUCCACUUUCCAUCACUAUUCCAUCUAACACUUCCGGAUGGCAAAUUUUGCUCUAAUACCAACUAUACUGAUCCGACCCGCUAGCACUAAUAACUUAGACCCUAAAUGAUCGGACACACAAUGUUUAAGCCUAGUUAUUGUUACUAGAAUCUUUGAUCCCUUAUACUCUUAUAUUUUUCAAUUAUAUUUUUUUUUCAUACGAUGCAAGAUUAUUGGGGCGUUACGAGUACAACCUUUGCAAUAAAAAGUUUUACGACCUACUACAAAGAAACUUCAUAAUACCAGCCUAUCAAAUAGAUUUGAAAAUGUCACAAGUGAAGCUCCAAUGUAGAACUAUGGUCAUGUAGAUAUGUCCAUAACAACAUAGCAGUAUUAUGAAGUCAAAAGAUGGGCAGAAAGAAUACUCACAUGUGUUAGUCAUUGGUAUUUGGUAGUAUAUACAAGCCGACCUUAGUUGAACAGAAACCUCAGAAAUGGUUCUCACACCUACUCAGGUAGGUUCAAUCCACUUCCCCAGCCUGAAAAUAGUAAUAAUGAAAUCAAACUUUAGGGAUAAGGAAUAAACCAUAAAUAAAUCCAAGCAACCUAUUCAUAAACAGAAGUCAUGCUUUCUGUAGGGAUCUGGCACCAACUGGAUAGGGAGAUCAAAUUAAAUUAACAAAACAAUGAGUGAAUUAGUGUAUUUGUCACCUGCUUCGCCAGAGCUACUAUGGCUAACAGCAGAAGCCUCGGAAGGUGGGCCAUCUGUUUCUUGAUUGUUUGUUGGAUCAGCAUGCAGGGUGGGCAUGGCACUCAAGGUAAUGGGUCUCAUUGCCAGGUUCGGAGGGAGAACCGGCUGUUGGUGAUGCUGCUGCUGCUGGAGCAGCAGCAGCUGCUGCAGCCGCAACUGCUGCUGUUCUUGUAUUUGUCGUAGAUUAAACUGGAAAGGAUCCACAGGAGGAAAAAUAGGUGCCUGUUGCAUGUAGUGCUGUACCUGAGGCAUUACCUCAUGUGGCAUCAUCUGUUAAUAAAAAGGAUAUGAUUACAUGAGCUGAUAUAGAAAAUAAGUUUAAUUAUUCGCCGUGAGAUCGUUCAUAUAGUAACCUGAGUAGUAACAGAAGGGGUUUGUGGUUGGGCAUCGGCGAUCUUAACCAAAAACAUCAGAUUCUUUUGAAGCUGGUCUUCGUACCUGACAUUAGUAAAGCCAUAAUAUUAUCACAUGCAGACAUUUACUUGCGUGUGCACGCGCGUGUGCAUCGCACUUGUGUGUUUUGGCCGGAAUGUAAGAAAUUAUGCAAUGAAUUUCAUGAUUUCUCUGUACCCUGAAUUUUGAGAACCUAUGUUUCACCCCAUCGACCGGCGAGCAAAUUGAUGAACUGUCUUAGUUUAAGGGGUAAUACAUGUUUUAAUACUACACGGGACAAAGUAGAAAACCACAAUAUUUGUAGGAUGUUUCCAGCAAUGUAGAGCUUUUUACUUUGAAGUCAUAAUUAUUAGUGCAUACAUUCAUUUAGGUCAUCAGAUCAAGAUGCACUCAUCUAAACCUCUACAAGAUGGUGAUUGGAGAUUCCAAACGAGUAUCACAUAAAUUGGCGGAAGUUCACAAAGCAUCAACAUUCUUAGUUGACAUAACAAAUCACUCCAAACUUUUCUUUGAGUAGACAGACUAAUGCAAUAUAUAUGAAAUUAAGAUCCACCAGACAACAACGAAAAUAGAAGUCCCUCGUUUAAUCAAAAGCAAGUGGUCUCAUCAGAAAUGAAAAUACAUCUGAAUAGAUGUGCGCACUGAAAAACACUUUCGCUAAUCACAUGUCCAAUUCUAAUCAUACAGAAAAGCUGGUAGAAACUCAAUGUUGAAAUCAAUUCUUCCUCAUAAUCCUUGCAUCACGAAUGACAAGUAUCAUUAAGCAGUCAAUUCACACACUACAUAAUUCAUAAUUGAUGAUCCAAUUGAGCACCAUUCUCUACCAUAUGAUAAAUAUAAGAUGCAACAGAGCAAAAGAAUAACCCCCAAAUAAAAAAGAACCGAAUUCUAGUAUAAUAGCUACUCACUGAGCAGAUUCAGACAACUUUCCCUGGUUCCGACAGUCCAAUAUCGCCCAAAUCAGCUGUUUGUUUUCCUCCAAAUACUGCAUGAUAAGAGGAAAGCAAUCACCACAAUUUUCUUUUUCCUUUUUUUUCCCUUGGCUAGAGUAAAGAAGCAAAAUAUGGAAACAAAUGCUACGAAUAAUCGACCCUGAUUAACUACAAGAGAAAGUACAUAUUCAAAGACAUUUUGUAGAUAAAAGAUCCUUGAAUUUCGCCAGAUACGAAAUUGUAGCUUAGCAUAAUAGGAACUAGAAUUCACACUAACUAAUCAAAUUUAAUAGUCUACGAAGGGUAAUUCAACCCCCAAUCUACAAAGGGUAAUUCAACCCCCAACCUAAUUCACGUGAAUUCAUUGAUUUGGAAAUCCAUUCCAAUUCUAUUUCAAUUUGGUACGAAACAGAGUGUAGUAACCUUAUAAUGCGUCCUAUACAUUCUAAUGCUUUCAUAUUAAAAUUAACACGCGCUUCAUAAUCAUAUAAUUUAUACAUUGUUUCUACUAAUCGGUAGUCAUAAACCCUAAUUAUUUCAAAAGAACACACAAUUGAGGUCGUAAAUCAUUACUAAAAGAUUACACACAGAUGAUGGUGAUGCUCAUGCUGGUCACAUCAAAACUAUAUCCGUGCCGACAACAAUUAAAUCCAUGUAAAACCGAGCUAAAACCUCUACAAUCCACUUCAGUGUAAACUAAAGCUACAAAACAAACAAAUUUGAUUAUAAAAAAAAAAAAAACACAAACCAAUCGAUCGAUUGCGCGAUUAUAUACCGAUUAGGUUUCGGGAAAAGUGAGUGCGAUUCACUGUGGAAAGAUCGAAUUCGAGAGGAACCCUAGGCGGGAAUUAAGGAGAUGAGGACGAGUUUGCAUUUUGAAUCACCUUUUGAAUCUGAUCGGUGGUGAUGUUCAUCGUCGGACGCUGCAUCUCUCUCUCUCUCUCUCUCUCUCUAUUUCUCUCUCUUUGUUGGAGUGAAAAAGUAGCAGGGCAAAAAUUAAGAACAAAAGGGAGGGAAACGGCGCGUUCAGAGGGCACAGAUUUUCGCCGUGGACCUGGUCUACCACGUCAACUAUCUACUUCAUCAGUGGCAUUUUUUUUUUUUUUGUCAAAGGAAAAAUAAUGAUAUUUUCCACUUUAUCUUUCUAUGCGAUCUAAUAACUAUAUAGUAUUUAUAUUUUUAAAUUUUCGUUUGAGGUGAGAGUCGAAUCCGGACCGCACUCGUAGUCCAUUUUAAGUGAGUAUCGAAUUCAUAGCAUCUACGCAGGUGUGGAGUAUACCUAUCAACUAUCCAUCACAUUUUCACUUUCUAGUGUUUUUUCUUUUUUGAGAGAUAGGUAGCACGCUACUCUUUUCGUUUAUUUCACUUAGAAAUAAACUUAGCUGAAAAUGUAAAUCAACUAGGAUUCGAACUUGGGUCUCGGGUACCAACCACCAAGCCCUUUGCCACUUGCUCUAGGGACGGUCUAUCAUUUUCUAGUGUUACACUAUCUAACUUAAUACAUUUAUAAUAUUUUUUACAAAAUAAUUUCAAUAAAAUUAUAAGAUUAUUAUAUAAUAAAAUUAAAAGUAUAUUAAAAUUCGGGUGGCUAUACAUAUUUUUUCCCUACGAGGCCCAAGUCCAACAAGAUAUAGAAAAAAUAAAAGCCCAAAUCGAUAACGAACACAUGGGGAGAGCUAUGGGAAAUGGAAAUGUUGGCUCGGCCUAAUAAUAUUGGCCCAUUUGUGUGGUAAGAACUGUGAUCUCAUUGGCUGGCUCGACCUGGUUCACUGGACCGAGCCAAUCAGAAUGUAACACGCAGUAGUAACGUACUCAUGCGAUGAUUUUUAUUAAUAUUUUCACUUUUUAAAAUUUUAUAUUUGGAAAAUUAAUUGCAAGCACCAUUGGAUUAUAUCCGUUAUUUUAUUUGAAAAUUUCAAAGUAUUAAUUGGAAUGAAUGAUGUGCAUUUUGGAAAAGGUAUAAGAAGUAAACACCAAAGCAUUUUGAUUGUGAAAAUAAAGAAAACCUUGCAACUAAAUAGAAUAUUUAAACAAUAAGGUGACGAAUGCUGAAAAUAGGUUGCAAAAUUACUGGAUAAAAUUUACACUGCACGGCCGCGUAGCCUAUUCGGGAAACUAUUUUAACCUAAAUUACCGAACCGAAUUGGCUCAUUUCAUUUGGAUUCAUUACGGUUCUAUAAACAAUUUGGUUCAGAUCGAAUUGCCUUUGAAAUUAAGAAGUUUUAAAAAAUUGUACAAACUGAAUUAACCAAAAUUUUUUUAAUAGUUUAUUAUAUAUCAGUCCUAAUAUUUUGAAAAAAAAAAAAUAUUAAUCACUUCAACACAAUCAAAUACUUAGAGACUUUAACUCUUAUUAUGUUCAAUUUAAAGAUUUUGGUAGAAAAUUAAUCCUACCUAUAAACCUAUAUCUUACUUUUAGUAAUUUAAUAAAUUUUAAUAUAGAUCGAUUAUAUUUAUAAUAAAAAAAAAUACUGUGAAAAUUAAAUCGACCGAACCGAACAGAACCCGGUGACCGCGUGCGCUGCGCGGCUACUGCCACGGCCUAACUAAUUCUCGACCCUAUUUAAACAAGAGAUUCACACAAACGACCCACCACGACCACUUAUAACUUAUAACCACCUCAAAACCCUCCCCUCCCCUCCUUUCCUCAGAAUAAGGAGAAGCAGUAAAAAAAAUUAAUUAAUUAAUUAAUUAUUUCCUAUUCUUUUCAUAUCUCUCUACAUUUUAUUCGGUUACAUUAUCAUUCCCACGCUCUCGAGGUAGAGGUAGAGAGGGAAGAGCACACACGCACGCGCCGCGCCCUCCCUCCGCCUCGACCGCCACGAUGUCGUCCGCCAUCGACGACGGCAUCGAGGUCAACCGGAAGCCGGGGAGGAAGAACCUCGUGAUCGCCGGCUCCUCGGCCGCAGUUCUCAUGCUCCUCGUCGUCGGCACCGUCGCCACCGUUCUGAACCAGUCCGCCGAAGAGUCCGGCGGCGUCUCCGCCCGGUCGAUGCACUCGACGUCCAAGUCCGUCCAGAUGAUCUGCGCCUCCACCGACUACCGCCAGACGUGCGAGUCCAGUCUGUCGAAGGCCGUCAACUCCAGCAGCGACAACGACCCGAAGGCGAUCCUCCACGCGGCCGUCUCCGUCGUCGUCGACGAGGUCGGGAAGGCCUUCGCCCACUCCCGCCUUCUCGACAGCAACAACAGCCGCGUCAAGUCGGCCGUCCAGGACUGCCUGACGCUCUUCGACGACUGCAAGUACGACCUGAAGCGGUCGCUGGAGAGCAUCAUCGCGCACGCCGCCACCGACCACCUGUCGAAGCGGUCGCACGACCUCGAGACGUGGCUCAGCGCCGUGAUCUCGUUCGAGGAGGCGUGCGUCGACGGGUUCCCGGAGGGGGAGCUGAAGGCGAAGAUGAAGGCGGCGAUGAAGAAGGCCAGGGAGCUGUCAAGCAACGCGGUCGCCAUCAUCGGGCAGGUGUCGAGCUUCCUGUCCAUGCUCGACAUCCCCGGGCUGAGCGGCCGCCGCCGCCGCCUUUUGACGGCGCAGAAGGAGCCCGCGCUUGCAGCGGCCGCAGCAGGUCUUAAGGAGGACGGGCUCCCGCAAUGGAUGUCGAGCACCGAACGGAGGGUUCUCAAAUCGCACCAUAAGCUCAAGGUCAAGCCGAAUGCCACGGUCGCGAAAGACGGCACCGGCGACUUCGCCACCAUUUCCGCGGCUUUGGACGCGAUGCCGAGCGAAUACAAAGGAAGGUCGGUACAUGCAUGCAAUAUUGUUAAUUAAGCUAGCUGAUUAAUUUAUAUAUGCACGAUUACAUGUUUGGGAUUAAUACAUGUAACAGGUACGUGAUCUACGUGAAAGAGGGGAUAUACGAGGAGACCGUCAAUGUGACGAAGAAGAUGGCUAAUGUGACCAUGUAUGGGGAUGGCUCGAAAAAGUCGAUCAUAACGGGAAGCAAGAACUUCGUGGACGGCACCAGAACCUGGCAAACCGCAACAUUCUGUGAGCGCAUAUAAUUGACUAAAACUGAAUUUUGUUCACUUUUCGCUUGAUUUAGUAUCUGAUCCUCGGUGCUUUAUGCACGCCGCAUGCAGCCGUCUCCGGCGACGGCUUCAUCGCGAUCCGGCUCGGGUUCCGCAACACGGCGGGCGCGGUCAAGCACCAGGCGGUGGCGCUACGCGUGAAGGCGGACCGCAGCAUCUUCCUCAACUGCCGGAUGGAGGGCUACCAGGACACGCUCUACGCGCAGGCCUACCGGCAGUUCUAUCGGGGCUGCGUCAUCUCGGGCACGGUCGACUUCAUCUUCGGUGACGCCUCGGCUGUGUUCCAGAACUGCAUCAUCGUCGUCCGCCGCCCCCUCGACAACCAGCAGAACAUCGUGACCGCCCACGGCCGCGUCGACCGGCAGCAGAAGACGGGCUUCGUCAUCCAGCGCUGCCGCAUACUCCCCGAGCAGGGCCUGACGGAGGCGGCGGCACACAAGGCCAACGUGCGCAGCUACCUCGGCCGGCCGUGGAAGGAGUUUGCGAGGACGGUCGUGAUGGAGUCGCACAUCGGCGGCUUCAUCCACCCGGACGGCUACAUGCCGUGGGAGGGCGAAUUCGCGCUGUCGACGUUGUAUUACGCCGAGUACAAUAACUUCGGCGGCGGAUCGAACGUGUCGACGCGCGUCCCGUGGCCGGGGUUCCACGUCAUAAGCCGGAGAGAGGCCGAGCGCUUCACCGUCGGCAACUUCCUCUAUGGCGCCGAUUGGAUUCCGGCCACCGGCGCGCCGUUUCGCCUCGGCAUGUACACGCGCGAAUGAGAGCACUUCAAUUUUUUUGUCUAGAGAGUAAAUUGACAAGGGAGGAAUAAAAGGGCGGGAGUUCUCGUUUAUAAAAUGGAUAUAUAUAUAUAUUUAUAUAUGUGCGUGUGUGUGUGUGUGUUAAAGGAGGGCGUAAUAGAUUUUUGUUUUGAUAGCAAUUAAGAAAAAAUGAAAAGAAAAAAAGAUUGUUUUCCUUUUCUUUUGCCUUAAAAUUCCUGAUUUAAUUUAUCAUACUCAAUGUUAAUUACACUCCUGAAAAGCUUUUAAAUCUCUUAGACCAUGAUUAUCAGUGACAAUUCUUAAAUCUCCUAGACCAAGCAAGCAGCUGAGUUUCAAUAGGGUUAUAAAACCUUGUCUCUUGUAUUUACUAAUAGAGGUCAAAUCAUUUAUUAUUUAUUAAUAAAGCUUCAUAAUUUGAUUUUACACAUUAUAAGAGUAAUUAAUGCUGUUAGUAUGGUAAAGUUAUAUUCAAACAUGUCAUCAGUUAGCUAUCAAAUUCGAAUACCUGAACCACUAAUUAUUAUCGGCUGGUAGGCUAGUAUUCUGUAUAUGUGACGGAAAUCGUAUUAGAUCAAAUCACAAUCAAGAUUCGAGUGCUUUGUACAUACCUAUGUGCUUUAAAUGAAUUGGUUGGUUCCUUCCUAAUAGCUCGGGCUUUUGAAACUAAUUUUCAAGAAUAACUCAACAAGUGGUAUCAAAGCGGGCCAUGGGUUUAAUUGUCAGGUGACGCAACUUGUGCAGGGUACUGAAAGGAUUGUUGGCAAGUAGACGAGCAGCCUAUUGAGAUCCGUCAGCACUGUAUCUAAAGACUUUAAAUGAAUUGGUUUCAUACUUUCUAAUAGCUUGUGUUUUUGAAAUUAUGGUUAAUUAGCCCCAAUAAUCGAACACUAAUAUUAUGUCAUAUUGUGAAAAACUAAACUCAUCUUAAUCAAUGAUUUUUGGGCACGUGCUCACGUAACCAUAGCUUUACUCCAUAUAAUAAAUUACUGAUUAAUAAGAGUUAAACUUUUUGUUUGUUUCAUGCCUCAUUAACACCCUACUUGUGCUCAUCAUGUUAACCAACCUCCUUGGUUCUUUUAAUGCAAAUAGUACUUGCACUAGCUUUUCUUGUUAUUAGAAACAUAGUACACACACUCCUCACACUCAAUUUGUUAAAAGUAUGAAAAAUCUUCUCCAAGAUAUCUCGAAGCUUCGAAUCUUCUUUUUUUUGCAUGAAACCAUUGAUUGCUUCAUCAACUUCCACACAUAGUUAACCUAUAAAACAAAUUAACUAUUAAGUUUAAGAAAAAAAAUUAUUCCAAAUAAAGAGUUUAAAGCAAAUGAAAUUUAAAAUGUUCUUUAAUUCAUCAAAUCCGAGCUCAUGAACAAAGGUUACUGGCUCACGAAAAACCAGUCAAAAGGAGGCUAUGUUAUUUGCGUGAUCUAGGUAAUUAUAUCAACACAUGGAAAGUUAUAUGAGUUGUUAAAAUGAUAAGUAAUUUUUGACUGUGAACAGUAGUUUCAUGUGUGAAUUAACAUUUAAUUAUGAAUCUAUACAGGUUUUAGCAUCACCAACAAGCUAAAUCAUGAGUUUUAAGCUUCAAAGGGUCAUCUUGUCGACUUGUUUUGUCGCUUACCUUAAUGAGACAAAUGGCGCCAUAAGACUAGCUAAGUGUGCGUUUGUCCUAAAUGUUGAAAUAGUUUUUCUAUACGCCACUCUCGUGUUUGGCAAACAAAAUUUCAGUAUUACUGGUACGAAGAUUCAUUUCAACAUUCCCACAAAACUGAUUUGUUUGCUACAAUUAGUAAAUUUUUAUUUAAAAGAGAGAAACUAUAUUUUUAUUGAACAACUCGAAUCAUAGAGGAAGUUUUUUUUUUUAGAGAGAGAUAGGUAGCAUGCUACUCGCUUCGUUUAUUUAUUUUAAAAUUAAACUUAGCUGGAAAUGUGAAUCAAUUAGGAUUCAAACUUGGAAUCUCGAAUACCAACAACCAAAUCCUUUGCCACUUUCACCGGGAGCAGUUGUUAUCAUACAAGAAGUAAUUAAUU
rnacentral:lncRNA from 1 species